rnacentral:lncRNA from 1 species
UAUGUGAUUUGUAACAUGAUCCCUAAUAUAGAUAACUUAUAUAAACUGAUGCAGGCAGUGAAUGGUUUGCUCAGGGGAGGAGGGACCUCGAGUUCAAGCGAGGAUCUGCAUGUGUUUGAAGGAGGAGUGGUGGGGCUGCUACCGUUUCCGCCGUCGAAGAAGCGGUAUCGGAGGAAGUUUACUGUGGAGCAGAAAGAGAGGAUGAGGGUGGAGGAUUCAGAAGCUGGCUGAGAAAAAAGUGGAGUGAUUUGGGUGGAGGUUUGGAAUUAAGAAGCAGGAGCUUAGCUAGGGUUUGGAUGCACAACAAGAAGUGAGAUUUGGGAAUGUGGAGGGAGAGGAAGGGGAAGUAGCUGAUCAAGAUUAAGGGGGCGUUUGUUGCGCCAGAUUAUCUCGGACUGGACUAGCUUCAAGGACUAAGCUGGACUGGCUUAGACUAGACUAAGCUGGACUAACUUAAUGAAGCGUUUGGUGCAGUGUUGGACUAAGAAGCUGGAUAAUAACAAAUUCUAAUAUUAUAUUAUUUAAUAUAUAAAUUAUUAAUAUUUUAUUAUGAUCUAGGUGACCGGAGAUGACGAGGAGUCUAUCGGGAGUGGUUGUUGAGCAUGACGAUGACGAGAGAUGAUAGUCUUAGCUAGUCCUAUGGUUAUUGGGGGGUCUCGCUAAGACCUCUUAGUGAAGGGUUUUGUCCAUGCUAGUCCCCUUUAGUCUCAUUAAUGUUAGUCCCAGUAUGGAACAAACACAGUAUUUGACUAACAGCUAGUCCAGUCCAGUCCCACUUAGUGAGGGUACUGACAAAGAAUUAAGAGGGUUAAUUAAGUGAGAUUUGUAAAAGUUCAUAAUGUGUAAUACCCUUUUAAUUAUCGAAUCAAUGAUUUACCAAAUGAUUGUAACCUUUCAAUUAUGUAAUAACAUAUCAGUUUUUCAUUUGGAACUAGCAUAUGGGCACGCAGAAAAUAUGUGUGAAAGUUUUUUAUUUCUGUUUUUAAAAUGGGAGGAGAAAGGAAGAGAGUAAGAGAGAAUGUGGGAUUGAGGAGAGAAGGGAGGGAACUUUAUUUUUAAUUUUUAAUUAGAGGUUUGUUAAAAUCACAUGUACGUGAGGUUUUAAAAAACAACAAAAUUUUAGUUGUGUAAAAUUACAUUAUUGCUUAUAUUUCUUAUUUAUGUUCAGUUUUAAUUGAAGGGUUAUAAUGGUAAUUUUAUGGGAUUUGGUUGACAAUGAAGGGUCUAUUAAUAUGUACUUUAGAUAAUUAGAGUUAACUGCUCCAUUUUCUCGCAUUUGUAGCUUUUCUACUUUUGAUUUUAUAUAUUUUUUGUGUUAAGUACCUUGACUUGUUUUCAGGUCAGUAGUUAUUUAUCACUAAUCAUAUUACAUGUUAGUAUUUUAUUUUUUUCUCAUUAGAUUUGGGUUAUUAAUUAAUUUUUUUUCUUUUAAUGCUAUGAAUUUUGUGGAUCUCAUCCUCCCUAUAUAUAAGGAAUUCCAUUAAGUUUUGUCAAAAAAUAUACUAUGAAUAAGUUUUCAAUUAAUAAAUUCACACAAUUAUACUUUUAUUUUUUCACUUAUUUUUAUAGUUUUGUAAUUUUAUGGACAUGCUUUGAGGUACUUUUGCCUGUAUAGUUAUUUGGUUAUAUGGUACGUUUAGUUUUGUAUAACAUGAGUACAUUUGGAUUUUAGUAGCAUACAUUUCUAGUAUGUUUAUGGUACAUUUGAAUUUUAAACAUACUACAAAAUUGAUACGUUUAUGAUAAAUUUGAGUUUUGAUUCAUGACAUUUAAUUGUGUUGAAGGGAUUAUUUUUAUUACUGUAUCAAAACAAAAAUAAAGUCGCCCUUAAUUGAAACUUAAGUAUUAAUUUUUUUUCUUGACAUGCCGUUUACGGUAGGACAAGAUUAAAUAUGAAUUUCACAAAAUUAAUUUCCUAGAUAUUAUAGGAAAUUAGUUGUAGCUGGACAAAUAUGGGUGUAUUAAAAUUAUUGGCAUUUGGUGUAAUUUCAUAUCCAAAAAAGGUUUAGUAAAAUCUAUUUGGUGCCACAUUAAUAGGAAGCAUUUUAAUCAAAAUUCUAAAACACAUAAAUGUUUAAAUUUACUUAUUUUUUAUUUUUUAUUUUUUUUGAAUUUGUUACAUCCUAAAUUAGAAUUAUGGAGAGGGGGAGAUUCUGUAAUUCCUAAUUUUCGUUCUACAAUACUAAGGAACUAUUGAGAAUAAAUCUCACAUUGGAAGCUUAAAUACUUUUUACUUGUUAUAUAUAGUCCCUACAUUUAGCUUUCGUGCAUUUAUAACAUGCAUUUCGUUACAUCUCAACCUUUAUAAUAAUCACUUGCGUAGCCAUACCAAAGGCUACGGUGGGCUGUAGCCCAAGGAGGGUUUGUGGCAAUAUAUAUAUAUUUUUGUGUAUUGUCUAAUAUAAUAGACAAAAAGAAGUGCAAGAAUAAUUAUUUUUAAUGAAACUAGCACAAUGAGUAUUUAGCACAAUUAAAAAUAUAAAAAUUACCAUGGAAAUUGUGAUGUUAUUUUGUUCAUGAUUCAAUCGACUUUAUAUUAGUUUCAAUCAAUUUUUAUUAAGAUUGCCUUUACUUCUACUUUAAUUUUUUUUUUUUUUGUAAGUUUUCCAUCUUCUUCUUGUGUUUUCAUCUAAAUACAUGUGAUAUUUGUUGAUUCAUUGUAAUUUUUGCAGUUUGCAAUCGCGAAGGUUAUUGAGUUUAUGCCUAACAAAUUUUAAGUAUACUAGAAGUUAAACUUAAACUUUUGCAUACAAUACGUAUGUAGCAAAAAAAAAACUUUUGAUUUUAGGAUAUCUUACAACUCAAGACAUGACACAUCAAAUUUAAUAUUAACUCCAAGUUAACAUCCUCAAGUCUGAAUAAAAACGAAACAAUAAACAAAAGGUCCAAAACUUAUAAACGCCUUGAUGCCAGCUGACCUUUACGGCUGAUAAGUUUUUGAUUUUCUGUUUUGAUUAUUUUUAAAUUUAUAGACUUAAUGUCAUUAAAUCAGAGUUAACUAUUAAGUUUGACGUGUCAUGUUUUAAGUCAUUAGAUUAUAAAAAUGAUUGAAUUUAAUGCAACAUAAUACGAAUGAGUCAGAUUUAAAUAAACUAAUCUUAUACUGUUAUAACUUUCAUCUGCUUAGUAAUUCGGCUGAGGAGGGUCACAAUAUGUGUGAUUUCAUCAUAGCACUAUCCGUCCUCAUUAACAGUUAUUCAUAUUUAAUUAACUAAAAAGGAUAGAAGAGACUACAUGAUGAAAAAAUAUAUAUAUUGUCAAGACGGCUACAAAUAAAACAAGUCACUUAAUGAUAAACUACAUAUUCUUCAAGAAAAUGAUCUCGCACAUCAUUUUAUUUCUAUACACCUUUCUUUUUUUUGUCGAACUUGAACAAUUAAAGAAAAAAAUAGUUCCCGUGAUUUUUUCUGAGAAAAAAAGUACAAUAUUAAUUAAAUAGAUUGAAGUGUACAAAAUAAGAGGAUAGCGAUGCAUACAUGGGUCUCGAUAAAUAGACAAAGCAUAAUAAUCAUAAAUGAAAAAUAUGACCACAAAAAUCUGAAAAUACAAAAUAAUAAUCACAAAUGCUGCAAUAAUGUGAAAUGUGAAAAUAAUGGGAGAUCAUGUAAAAGCUCUCAAAACAAUUAAUCGUGGAAUAUGAAAAACGCCUUGCUUUUUUAUAUAGACACUGUAAAGGACAUCGGGGCUCCAAAUCACCUCGUGAUUCAAAACCACAGUUCAACGUUGGAUCCAACAAACUCAAAGAACGUACCUGCAGUACUUGGAUUUGGAAAGUGUUGGAAUCUAUUAGUUUAUUUAGGAAAUUAAUUAGAUAUUUGAUUUUGUGUUAGGUUUUUUUAAUUUUAUUUUAUAUAUUUUUUAAAUAUAUUUUAUGCAUUAGGGUUUUUUUAGGUCCAUGCCAACUAUUAGUUUAAGAAUUAAGUUAAUUAAAAUGAAGCGCUCAGUUUGUAAUCAUUUCAGUAUUCUUGUUUGUUUGUUUUCAGUUAAAAAUAUUUAAUAGUUUUUGUUUGUUCGUCCGUUUUGGUACUUUAAUUUUCAACUGAAAGUACUAUAUCAACCACACAAACGACCAAACCCACCUAUCGCAUAUAGGGAGACUAGAAGAUGAUAAAAAUUCACAUAAAGCGAGACUGUAAAAACAUAGACAACUCACAAUGGUAUUAUACUUUCUCAAUAGAGAUACAAUUGUAUUUCAUUGUACCAUUGUGAUCAACUAUUGUUUGGGUUAAUAUUUGAACAUUGGACUUAAAUGAAGGAGAGCCCAAGGGUACCAAAUUAAAGGGGACUUGCCCGAAGCCCAGCACCGAGCCCAAUGGAAAAUUGAAGCCUUCUCAGCCAAGUUACAAGCCACGUGCUUACCAUUGAAGUGACAAGUGAUGGAGACUAAUCUACUACUAGCCAAAGAACACUUUUUAGUGGUAUUACAAGUAAAAAGCUGAUGACUCAUUACCUUCCAGGUGCUUUCGGGCAAGAGCAAAAGUCACAGCAGUCGGGCUAAUUUGCCUAUAAAAAGAAGAAGAGGCCCCAAGGACAAGGGCACUCAACCAAUGAAACAAAUAAACAUACAAAUUCUGCUCGAUUUGCAUCCAAAAGUUGAAAUCAACUCGGAUUCAGUCAUUUUUAGCGAUAAGCUAUCUCUUGUCUAAGUAUAAAAGCUCUGCUAUUUCCCUUAGUGGCGUAGUAUCGAUUCCCUUGUGUAAACUUAUUUACCAUCCAUCCCUUUUUAGCAUAUAAACCCCUGUAAAUUCAAAGAGAAGUGACUGCAAGAGGUUCAACCUUUCCAGACAAGGUGAAAUCUUGCCCAAAGCUCUUUGUUUGCCUUUUGAAUUUGUAGAUCUAUUACUUAAUGCAUUCUCCAGUAUGUAUUCAAGUUAUUUCCAUCAGUUUUCCUAUUUUAAGAGUCCCAUUUACAUUUGGAUCUGGUUAGUUUAAUGGGUAUGUUAUCAUUAAAACCAAUCAAGAACUAAGUAAAUGGCUUAAGGGGAUUUGGACUCCCUUCACUCGAACAUACAAGAUCAUGAACUAAAAGUCCUUGUUUACAAGGCAAGAAAAAGAACUUAAUGUGGACUUAACUCAUCCACAACAAUCCUUUGAUAACAAGAAGUUUGAAGUAACUUGGAGCGCAAGUAAUCGACUUAAAACACAUUUGUUCUACAUCUGCUAUAUUGAGAUAGCAAUGGCACGCCUAGCACUUAGUUAGUUUUGAUUGCGAGCCUCAAGGCCUACACCUAAGGCCCCACAAAGGCACAUUUCAGAACUAACUUUGUUAUUUUCUUGUAGCUUAUCAACAAGCAAGAGCCUCGACUACACAUCCAAAGUGCUAAUCCCUUAGGGAGUUGUGCUGAGGUCCGAUGAACCUUUUCCAGAGAAAUCUUUGCUUGAACAACUAUAUGACUAAAGAAAAUGUUAAAGAAACCAUGUUUUCAGACCAAAUCGUGAUCGAUGUACCAUUUUACCUGGCAAUAAACAUUUUUCAUUUUCUACUUUAGGUUUACAAAAUUCUCAACUUCCCAAUAUUAAUCUUUUUUCCUACAGCAGUACUACUAUACCGUCAGCUUAAAUCCUCAUUUACGUACAUUGUCGUCUAUAUAUCUAUCAUUUUCCAAGUCAACUAAGAUAAGCACAACCAAUCAUUUUACCUUCGAGACGUGGAGAUGGCAAACCAGGGGAUGCCAUGUGGCAUAUAUUUUGGCUUUGUGCACAGCUGGGUAAUUUCAGUCUACACAAGCACUAUAAAUAACACUGUUAGUGGUGUUGAUGCCGUACCUCGUACACAUCAGUAGGGUUUCUUUUAUCUUUUGACUGGGACUUGGAUUCUCUGCCUUCCCAUUUCGGUACCCUUCCCGUGCCCUCCCAUUUCGGUACCCUUCCCGUGCCCUCCUGUUUUGUGUGGUCACGGUUAAUUCAUGUUAACAUUUUAUAUUGUUUUUUAUAAAAAUAAUAAGACAAAAAAUAAUAAUAAUAUAAAAUAUUGACGUGGCUUAACCGUGACCACACAAACAGGAGGGCACGGGAAGGGCACCGAAUUGGAAGGGCAGAGAAUCCAAGUCCUUUUGACUGUCCUUGUUCUCAGAUGUUUAGUACAGAUGGUGCGUGGUCGAAGCACCCUUCAGUUCCUCGAAAAGAAGAGACUUAAAUGCAAACCCUAAUUUUUCUUUCAGAUCACGACGAUUUACGUCGAAUCGAAUCCAUGAUUUACCAUAAAGAGAUCCCUUGUGUUUGUACUCGUCAAGGAUGAUAUUGCUAUUCAUUCUGCGUGCGUCAAGAAGACCAUUAUUCCAAAGUUUGAUUAUGUAAGUUCUAAUUCAAAUGUUGUUGUUUCCUUUUUGCUUCUAGGGGUAUUUAGGGUUUAAUUAGUAUAAGAAUACGUAUGGAGGAAUCAUAAUGUUUGUAAGAUUUUGGAUUUUGUGAUUUGUAACAUGAUCCCUGAUAUAGAUAACAUAUAUAAACUGAUGUAGGCAGUGAAUGAUUUGCUUAGGGAAUGAGGGAUAGAGAAUUCAAGGGAGGAUCUGAAUGUGGUUGAUGGAGCAGUGGUCGGGUUGCCGUCAUUUCCACUAUCAGAAGAACACCAAUACUGUCCUCACUUGGCCACCUGCUCAAUCUGUCAGGUGUGGGGUUUUAAUACAAAGGUCUCGGUGUUAGUUAGAGUGGGGUAAUUCUAUAUAAAUGACUUGUUCUCAAGCCUUCUGGCCGAUGUGGGACAAAGGAAUUCUAACAAAAAUUGCUUGAGAAGAAUCACUUUCGACUUAAACCUUUUGAUAGCCAAGCUGUUGAGCCAACUCCAUUCCAUUCUUAAUUGCUAACAAUUCAGCAUGAAGAGCCAAAGAAACAUUGGAAAGAAAGCAUGUCGUUGCAGCCACAAAAGCGCCCUGCGAGUCACGAAUCACCGUACCAGCUCCACCAACCUGAGCCUGCAUUUUAGUAGCUUCAUCCACAUUCACUCUCACCCAGUCCUCCGCCACCUCCCCAGCCAUCGAACCACUUUCAUCCCCUUACCUAAUCCUAGGCGUCCGCUACUGUGCCACGAGUGCAAGGUCUGCCACCGCCUGGAACUCCUACAACCAUGCCACGACUCUUUGCGCCACAACUCCCGGGGCCUCUUGCUUCCUCUUCCAAAUGCGAUCAUUCCUUCUCCUGCCAAAUGUGCCAGACCACCAUACAAAUGAAGUCGAAAGCAAAUUGAUUAAGCAUUAUAUAUUUUUUAUCGCUAAUCAUAUUACAUGCCAAAAUAAACAAACAUGAUGGAGCCUUCACAAAGGUUGCUUAGGAGAAGUCUCAGCAGUCGGUAGAGCCUCAGAAAGAGAAGGCAUCGGAGGGGGAUCAUUCGGAGCCUCAGUACUGGACAGAACCCUAAAAGGAUGAGGCAUCAGAGGUUGAUCAUUUGGAGCUUCAUUACGCGGUACAGCCCCAGAAGACGAAGGCAAUAAAUGCCUUUGGAACAAACCCACAAAUCUCUGAUGAUCAAGUAAAACCUGACCAUCAGUUUCCUUCAUCUGGUCAAGCUUCCUCUUCAUGUUUGUAGCAUAGUCAUGUGCGAGCCGGUGCAACUGUUUAUUCUCAUGCUUGAGCCCUCUAAUCUCCUGUUUGAGACUCAUCACUUCGGCCGCCAAUGAUUCAACUUGGCGGGUUCGAGCAAAUAGGCGUUGGGCCAUAUUAGACACAGAACCUGCACACUGAACACUGAGAGCCAGCGAAUCCUUAACAGCUAACUCAUCAGACCGUUUGGAAAGUAGUCUGUUAUCUUUGGGAGUGAGAAGGUUCCUGGCCACCACCGCAGCGGUCAUAUCAUUCUUCAUCACGGAAUCCCCAACGGUAAGAGAACCAGUAGGGGAGACGAAGGAUGGGCGCCAUAUGUUGUCUGGAGAAGGCGGGGCUGCCUCUUCAACAAGGUUCAAGUCAAAACGACGGUCGGAGGGGCCAGACAUUUUCAAAGGUGUUGAAGAGAGAAGAGGUCGGACAAAUCAAGAUCUUAGAAGUGCAAGAAUGAAGCUUCUACUGGUGGAGAUUCAAGUGUGCUUUGGAACUUAAUGCCAGCCCCUAUAAAAAGCUGCACUCGACGGAGCUUCAGACAUCGAAGAGGCGCCCUGCUCAGAAAUCGAAGAGGCGUUUGCUUUCUCAAAAGCUGGGCUGCUUAGAGAUCACGAGGGUUGAUCUCAUAAAAUCGAAGAGGUGUUUGCUUUCUCAAAAGUUGGGCUGCUCAAAGACCACGAAAGGCCGAUCUCAGAAAUCGAAGAGGCGCUCGCUUUCUCAAAAGCUAUGGGCUCCUUAGAGACCACGAGGGCCGAUCUCAGAAAUCGAAGAGGCACCUACUUUUCCAGCCUUGUCAGCACCUGUCACACGCACACUCAGCUUUGCGGAAAUUAUGGGCAUUCUGUCGAAGACUUUCUGGGGAAGUAGAAAACACAUGAAUCUUACUGUUCCAAUCACCCACUUCCCACACGCAACAAUAGCUCAUGGGUACCACAGAUAACUUUGCCAAAGUUCUCUGCCAAAGUUGAGCACGUGAAGCUUGCAGCUCCCACUACAUCGCUCUGACCAAGAAGGGUAAAAGAAUAGCAAAGAAACAGCACUAACAAAGUUUAGACCCAUAAAUUUUGAAGGUCUAGCUACCAUAUUAUUACCCACAAGGGUAAAGGAACAGUACCACUGCUGGAUAAUUGGAAAGUCCCUGUGUGUCAACCUCUGUGCUUCGUGGCAAGGUAGACUAGCAAACAUGCCCAACCUUUACUCACAUUCGAGAAAACACUCCCAAUAAGAUUGCUUGCUCCAAAAUCGAAGAGGCACCGUCCUCCGAAUCUCGAGAGCCAGACUCCCAACAUGACUACUUUCUCAAAAAAAUCGAAGAGAGGGUAAAGGAACAGUACCAUUGCUGGAUAAUUGGAAAGUCCCUGUGUGUCAACCUCUGUGCUUCGUGGCAAGGUAGACUAGCAAACAUGCCCAACCUUUACUCACAUUCGAGAAAACACUCCCAACAAGAUUGCUUGCUCCAAAAUCGAAGAGGCACCGCCCUCCGAAUCUCGAGAGCCAGACUCCCAACAUGAUUACUUUCUCAAAAAUCGAAGAGACACUGCUCCCCGAAUCUCGAGAGCCAGACCCCCAGCAUGAUUGCUUUCUCAAAAAUCGAAGAGGCAUCGUUCUCCGAAUCAAUCGAAGAGGCGCUCGCUUUCUCAAAAGCUGGGCUGCUCAGAGACCACGAGGGCCGAUCUCAGAAAUCGAAGAGGCACCUACUUUUCUAGCCUUGUCAGCACCUGUCACACGCACACUCAGCUUUGCGGAAAUUAUGGGCAUUCUGUCGAAGACUUCUGGUGAAGUAGAAAGCACAUGAAUCUUACUGUUCAAUCACCCACUUCCCACACGCAACAAUAGCUCAUGGGUACCACAGAUAACUUUGCCAAAGUUCUCUGCCAAAGUUGAGCACGUGAAGCUUGCAGCUCCCACUACAUCGCUCUGACCAAGAAAGGUAAAAGAAUAGCAAAGAAACAGCACUAACAAAGUUUAGACACAUAAAUUUUGAAGGUCUAGCUACCAUAUUAUUACCCACAAGGGUAAAGGCAACAGUACCACUGCUGGAUAAUUGGAAAGUCCCUGUGUGUCAACCUCCGUGCUUCGUGGCAAGGUAGACUAGCAAACAUGCCCAACCUUUACUCACAUCCGAGAAAACACUCCCAACAAGAUUGCUUACGCUCCAAAAUCGAAGAGGCACCGCCCUCCGAAUCUCGAGAGCCAGACUCCCAACAUGAUUACUUUCCUCAAAAAUCGAAGAGACACACUGCUCCCCGAAUCUCGAGAGCCAGACCCCCAGCAUGAUUGCUUUCUCAAAAAUCGAAGAAGCAUCGUUCUUCCGAAUCUCGAGAGCCAGAUACCACAUACCACUUUUUCAAAGUGCUCUGACAGAGUUAAAACAUGUGAAGCUGGCAGCUCCCACUACCGUGCUAUGACCAAGCAGGGUAAAGGAAUAGCAUUACUACUUGUUGUUAGGGAGACUCCUAUAUAUGUCGACCUCCAUCCCCAACGGACAGGCAGACCUGCAAAAAUGCUCAACCCUUCAUCAUAUCUGAGAGGGCACUCCCAACGAAGCCUUUCGAAAUAUUCAGCUUUCUUUCCCCCCGAUAAUACCUCUGCAAACAAGCUAUACUAGAGCAAGAAUAUCUCAUAUCAUCAGGGUUAAAAAGCAAGAGUAUCCCAUAUCAUGCUUUUUUCCCUGUCUUUUCCUUUGGCCUUGUUUUUACCUGCAAGACAAGGAGAAAGAGAGCAAUCAGUCAGCACUUGAAAUCAAGCUCCCAGCCAGGAACUGACUGCCUGGAACCCCUUACCUGAUUACUUACCUGGCAUUGCUCUCGAGUACUCAUCUUCAACAUCUUAUGUUUCCAGGGAAGAUACCGCAUCUGCUUGAGGAACAGAUAGGGCAAGUGCGAAGGAUACAAGGAAGCAUGUGGAGACAAGCGUAACACAGCACACGUGCCGAUACAUUCCAUUACUCUGUCAAAAGCAAAAGUAUCCCAUAUCAGCAGGGUCGAACGUACUCUAGAUUUGAUGGACUUGUUUUGACCCUCAAAUUCUUCAGUCGGCCUUAUACUCUGGAGGAAACCAGAAAACCCUCCAGCUCAGUUCAAGAAUAAGCCUGUGGAAAGUUACUUCUUCAAAAGCAAAAGUAUCCCAUAUCAUCUCUUCUCAUUUUUCUUCUCUUUAUCCUUCAUGCUGCUGCAAGAUGGGGAGAAGGUGAACAAUCAGCCGGAGCUCUGAUUGCUUACCUUGUCUGUCACCUCUUUCAGCAGAUCCCCUAGCUCGGCGACUUGGGGGACUCCUACUACAUGGUUUGUAUCGCGCUUGACCAAGCCUGAAACUACAAGUAAGCUUCAAGUGAAAUUGAUACAUUACCUUGUGCAUCUCCACCAGUUAAAGAUACCACCCCUGGAUGGAGGAAGAGUACUUCCAGAGAAGCUGCCACAUCUACCUAUGAGACAGAUAAGGCAAGUCAAGAUGAUACCACACUCCGAUACUUAGAAGUUUCGUGAUUACGAGAUUAUUCUCCCACAAUAUUUCCUAAUGUCAUUUGUACUCUAAUGUCAUUUGUACUAAAUCAUUCACUUGUACUCACUAAAGGAGAGCUUGAACCUAUGUACUUGUGUAAACCCUUCACAAUUAAUGAGAACUCUUCUAUUCCGUGGACGUAGCCAAUCUGGGUGAACCACAUACAUCUUGUGUUUGCUUUCCUAUCUCUAUCCAUUUAUAUACUUAUCCACACUAAUGACCGGAGCAAUCUAGCGAAGAUCACAAAAAGCGACCGUUUUCGCUACCUAGGAUCUAUCUUGCAAGAGAACGGAGAAUUAGAUGGAGAUCUCAACCAUAGAAUACGAGCUGGAUGGAUGAAGUGUAAGAGUGCAUCCGGCGUGUUGUGUGACCGUCGUAGGCCACUGAAGCUCAAGGGAAAAUUUUAUAGGACGGCAAUAAGGCCAGCGAUGUUGUAUGACACAGAAUGUUGGGCGGUGAAACAUCAACACGUAUACAAAAUGGGUGUAGCGGAGAUGAGGAUGCUUCGUGGGAUGUGUGGGCACACGAGAAAGGAUAAGAUUGAGAAUGAGGAUAUCCGAGGUAAAGUAGGAGUAGCCGAAAUUGAAGGAAAGAUGAGAGAAAAUCGGUUCCGGUGUUUUGGACAUGUGCAAAGAAGGCCGACUGACGUUCUGGUUCGAAGAUGUGACUACGGGACAGAGGUUCAGGGCCGAAGGGGUAGAUGAAGACCUAGGAAAACUUUGGAAGAGACUCUAAGAAAAGGCUUAGAGUACUUGGAUCUAACGGAGGACAUGACACAAAACCGAGCGCAAUGGCGUUCUAGGAUUCAUAUAGCCGACCCCACUUAGUGGGAAAAGGCUUUGUUGUUGUUGUUGUUGUUGUAAUCAUAUUACAUGCCAGUAUUUUAUUUUAUUUCUCACUUAAUUUUGGUUAUUAAUCAAUUUGUUGUUUUAAUGCUAUGAAUUUUGUGGAACUACAAAAAACAAGGGGCCUUUUGUGACAGAACGGACAUGUCUCAAAAAGUAAUUAAAGUGUUGUAAAAAGCUUUUGGCGACGGCCUUGCGACAGUAAUGGAUGCGUCGCAACAAAUCUAGGUCGCAAUGUUUUAACAACUAUUUACGACGCUACCUAAAGCAUCGUUAAUAAUAGAUCCAGGUGUAAAAAAAAUUCUGGCGUCAUAUUUGAUGCCAUUUACAAAUUAUUCUAAUUAAUUUUACAAACUAGAAACAUAUUAUUAUUGAAAAUUUUGCAUUGUAUUAUCAUAUACAAGUACGACAAAACUACGAAAGCAACACUAUAAUUUUACUUAAAGUUAGCUGAAUGGUCGUAUACAUUAUACACCAAUAAGUGUGAGGCUCGUGGUCGUGAUUCUGUGCCUGAACCUUAGGAAUAGUUAACAAUCCAUUUUCUUGCCAUAGUGAAACAUAUUUGACAUCAGAAUCAACAAAAUGACAAGAAGAAAUAGCAAACUACAAGCUAGUUUCGUGAUGGUUCUGUAGCACGAGCACACCAAGAUUAUACAUGAAUCAAAGUUUUGACACUCCUAGUUUUGUGAUGAUUCUGUAGCAUGAGCACACCAAGAUUAUGAAGAAACUUGUAGAAUCCUAUAUAAAUAAGUUGAAGUCUAGCAAGUUGACUGAUGUGGAAGCUGCUGGUCUCACCUUUAUAUAAUGACACUUUGCCUCAAGUAUUUGUCGACUCUCUAUUUGUUCCGCUUGAUCCGUCUCCUGUUACCAUACAGAGUUGGCGAGCUUUAACAUCAGCCGUACUUUGCUCCAUGAGUAAAGAUAGCUCAAUAUGGUUGUAGCUUGCUUUGUAACAUGAUAAGCUUGGGCCAUUAUUUGCAAUCUUACAAUCCCCUUCAAACGCCGUAAAUUUUCUAGCCUGCAAUGGGUGAAAGAAAGUCUUAGGAACACAAAAAACAGCAUAACAACAAGUGCUCCUUCAUGCAUAAAUGUCUACAUUGGUCCUCAUCUGGCACGAAAUGGCCAUUAUAUUUAGAACAGUUUUGAGUUUUCAUUUGAAUCAAAAAAGGGAAAAACUGCUAUGUAAUAACAUCAUUCAACUUUAUUACCAAAUCUUCGUUCUUAUCAAUAUUCAAACUAAAUACCAUUCACUUAAUAAGAAGAAUGCAAAACCAGAGAUAUAAACAAAAUUCCACAGGAUCACCGGUCAAAAGUAUUUGCUUGUUAAGUAAAAAUGCUAAUACAACUCAUGUAUGUUAUGACUGCAGCAUGGAUUGUGAUGCCUUCCAAGUUUUUAUAAGAGAAGCUAAUUGCAAGAUAGUUAUGGCAUAAAUUAUAAUUCUAAACCUUCAUACAUUUCAUCUAAGAUUUCCAAAUUCUAACCCAAUUUCCUAACUUGAUUUCAAUUACUGGUCACUUUACAGCUUCAGAUUCAUUUUGUUAACAAGAGCUAAACAAUGUAAAAGAAUUUGGAGGCUCUAUACCUUCAACAGUUUUGAAUUGUCGUCCUUUGAUUUCUUUAAGUCAACCAAUACCUUAAACCAACACCGGGAACCCGAACCUGUUGGUGAAAUUCUAUAUCCAAUUUAACAUAAGCCUUCCAGUUAAAUACAAUCAUCAUCAACAUUAAGUAACAAAGAAGGAAUUAACUUUUAAGCAUGCAUAAAUUGUUCUUUUCUUUUCCUCUAAAAUCAAUCCAACAGUUAAGCUACAUUAUCCAAUAACAAAUACAUAAAAUCACAAUAAGGUUAUGUUGGAGUAGCAGUUGUAAAAGAAGUAGCAAGGAAGAUGAAAACAAAGUCUCUGAUGGCUAUGUCAAGGACCAGAUUUCUCCUCUUCGUGGCCAUGGUCGUGUCCAAUGCCAUAACCGCAACCGUGGUGGUGAGUGUGAGGCUCGUCGUAGGCAGAUGCAGAGAACCCAGAAACAAAGCUCAAAUAUGAACAAAGCCCGACAACUAAAAUAGCUACCAAGACCAAUCAAACAGCAGGACACACGAAUGAAAUAAAAAAUCAAGAGGCACAAAAAAUCAAUAAAUAAUUAAUUGAACAAAAUUCGUAGAAAGAAACUCCAGGAAACUAAAAGGCACACCAGAAUCGGGACUAUAGAACUUGAAAUCGAGAUUACAAAGCUAGAAAUCGAGAUUCCAACCUGAGAGAGACCAAUCCAAAUCAAGCUCGCUGAGAGAGAGAGUGUGUAAGAAGGCUGAUAGUUUGAGAGAUCGUGAGAAUAUAGGCAAAGAGACGGAGAGAUAGAGUUUUGUUUUGGGGGGGGGGGGGGGGAGGGAGAGGGAGAGAGAGAGAGAGAGAGAGAGAGAGAAUUUGAGAGGCAGUCACGAACUUUACUAAAAAAAUUGAAAAUGGUGGAAUUGUUCAUUUGAAAUUAAGGCGCUUAAGACCAUCUUCAAUCCUUGGGCUAAAAACCAAAUUUUUUAGCCCAGAAACAUCUUUUCUACUCCAACCUUUCUACCCUAAAAUUUUAGCCUGGAAUUAUUAAAGAAUGAAAUUAGUCUAAAUUUUUUUCUUAAAUCAAUUUAAAAAAAAAAAUAUGUAGAUUAUUGUAAAUUAAUUUUAUGAACAUUUUUAUCUAAAAAAAUUUAAAUUCCGAUAAACAUUUCGCAUUUAGCCCUGGGGGAAAGCUGGGGGGUAUUUGGCCCAGAAAUAGCAUUUGGCAUUUAGCCUAAAAUUUUAGCAUGGGUUGGAGAGUGUUUGGGGGGGUAAUUUGGCUUUUAGCCCAGGGUUGGAGAUGGUCUAAUAGGGGAAAAAAAAGGGUGCUAAAAUAAAAAUAAAAAAUUUUGGGAAGGUGUCUAUCAAAUGUCUCUUGACGUCGAGACGUGUUUGCGACAUUACUUAGAGCUAGGGUGGGCACCUGAAUUCGAAAAUCAAAACCGAAACACGAAUCAAAUUGAACCGCAUCAAAUGGUUUGGUUUACUUUUGUGCUGUUUUAUUUUUCGCUUUACUGCCUGCGCAUUUGAACACGGAUCAAGCACAUCAACGACGGCAUAUCUCACUGCCAAAGGUAUUAUCCGACUGCCUAUUUCCAUUGAUAUGCAUCUGUUACAAUAUUAACUCCAGUUACACAGAAAACCCGUAACUAUUAUGCACCAUUAGUUCACCUCAUGCUCAAUUUACUUCAAAUUAAUGUGGGUUUAAUAGUAUUUGUAGUCCAAUUAUCUAAUCUGGGCUUAAUAUUAUAGAUUGGUAUAAUCCAAUAUAACCGGGUACAUGAGUUUUGGUAGACAUGCAUUAUAAUGUUUUUUGUCAGUUCGUUGAAUUAUGCUAGGAAUACCAACUAUUUAGACUUAAGUUCAUAAACCAUAUGAUGUGGUUGUAAUUGAAGCCAUGCUUGAUUGAAUUUUAAUAUUGUAUGCAUGCUUGAACAAUGCAGUAAUAGAAGACAUGAAAAUGAAAAAGAUUAAUUAUGUAAUUGUGUAUUAAUUCACGGCAUUUUUAAUUGUGUAAUUGUGUUGAAAGGAUUAAUUUUUUGGACUGUAUCAAAACAAAACUAAAGUUGCCUUUAAUAGAGUAUCUAUUUUUUUUUCUUGACAUGCCGUUUAUUGAAGGAAAAGAUUAAUUAUGCAUUUCACAAAAUUAAUUUCCUAGAUAUUAUAGGAAAUUAGUUGUAGCUGGACAAAUAUGGGUGUAUUAAAAAUUAAUGGCAUUUGGUGUAAUUUCAUAUCCAAUACAGGAUCUGUUUGGCGCCAUAGGAAGCAUUUUAAUCAGAUUCUAACACACAUAAAUGUUUAAUCUAAGAAACAAAUAGGACUAAUCUACUUUUGUUUGUUUUUCAAAAAAAAAAAAAAAAUCUACUUUUGUUUGAAUUUGUUACAUCCUAAAUUAAAAUUAAUGGAGAGGGGGUGAUUCUGUGAUUCCUAGCUUUUCGUUCUACAAACUGACUUUGUACAAUAUUGCUUGAGUAUUGUUCCUUAAUUCCCACCUCAAAUGAAUGGUUAAUAAUAAAUUUCACUUUGAUGAGAGAAUGAAUCUUGAAUGUGCUUAUAAGUAUUUGGAUACUUGUUAUAUAGCCAAUUGGUUUUAUGGUGGAAACUCAACUUUCUUUAUGAUAUCAGAAUAUGUUGUUCCACGUAUGAAGCCAACGGCCACAUGUGCUAUACGUCACCCGAGUUAUGUUGUCUAUGUGUUAAACUUGAAAUUUAGUCACACUUGAAGAAGCGUGUUGAUAAUGAAUUUCACAAUUAUGAGAGGUGGGACCUUUCACAUUCUUAUAAGUAGUUGAAUUGCUUUUUAUAUUUAAGAUUAUGAUAGAACCCCAAUGUUAGAUCCCACAUCGCCCAGAGAGUGGAUCCUCUAUGCUUUAUAUGUACAUGCUCAUCUCCAUAUAGCACGAGGCUUUUUGGGAGCUCACUGGUUUAGGAUUCCUUAGGAACUCCGAAGUUAAGUGAGAUCGCAACGAGAGCAAUCCCAGGAUGGGUGACCCCACUGGGAAGUUCUUGUGUGAGUUCCCAUAAACAAAACCGUGAGAGCAUAGUCGGGGCCCAAAGCAGACAAUAUCGUGUUACGACGGAAUUGAGUUCGGGUCGGGAUGUGACAAUUUGGUAUCAGAGCCAAUCCCUGGACGGAAACGACGGAAUCGAGUUCGGGUCGGGAUGUGACAAUUUGGUAUCAGAGCCAAUCCCUUGACGGAAAUGUGCCGACGAGGACGUCGGGCCCCUAAGAGGGGUGGAUUGUUAGAUCCCACAUCGCCCAAGGGAGUGGAUCCUCUAUGCCUUAUAUGUACAUGCUCACCUCCAUAUAGCAUGAGGUUUUUUGGGAGCUUACUGACUUCGGAAGUUAAGCGAGAGUAAUCCCAAGAUGGGUGACUCAUUGAGAAGUUCUCGUGUGAGUUUCCAAAAACAAAACUGCGAGGGUGUGGUCGAUGUCCAAAACGGACAAUAUUAUGUUACGGCGAAAUCGAGCCCUGAAUGUGGUGGAGUCAGGGUCGGGAUGUGACACCCAACUUCUUAAAGAAUCCACCGUUGAAGAACACUGGCUUCCAGAAUUAUUUUGAAGCUUUCAGUCCAACAAAUCUGAGUACGUGCUCACUGUUGAGGGUGAAAGUUUGGCAAUAGCCAGCCCACAUGUAAUAAACCUAUCAUUUGAUUGACCUCUUCAAUCCGAUCUGCGUGUCGGUGAAAGGAAAGGUUUCAAAUUGCUUGUGUUAACUAUAUCAUGUAACAGUCCUUUUAACUUACAUGACAGAAUAAAGUAAAAGUGGAAUACGGAGGAAUAGAGUUUAAGAUUACUUAAAAAAAUUUAAAAUAACAAAAAAAUGAAAUAUUGAGAUUUAAUUUUUAAAAUUGUGAAUUUUCUAGAUUUCUAUAUUUAUUAAUCCAAAGAAAGGACUUGUUGCAUUUGCAUGUUAAUUUAUAAAUUAACAUAGAAUUUAAACUUGUGAAUGGAAGGUUUCGAAUUCCAUUUUUUUUCCACUCGAAAAUUCUAGAUUUCUAUACUUAUGAAUUCAAAGAAAUGACUUGUUGCAUGUUAAUUUGUAAAUUAACAUAGAAUAUAAACUUGUGAAUGAAAGGUUUCCAAUUCUAAUUUUUUUUUCCACUCGAAAAUUCUAGAUUUCUAUGUUUAUGCUUAAAAAAAAAAAAGAACUUGAUACAUGUUAAUUUAUAAAUUGAACUUUAACCAAAUUUCAAGUUUACGUUCCUCAUCGAAACAUAAUGUAAUAGAAUUUUUAUAAAAUCCUAAAGAAAAUACCACGUUAACAAGCGUUAAUAAAAGUAAAGAAUUAUAUCAAUUUCACCAACUUUUGCAGGAAAAUACAUCGUCAUUGUUCAAGUCGAAACGCGUCGUUUCAAGCGACCACAUAUCAUCAUAUUUCAGUCGCUUAAGCCCCAGGUUAAACCCUUCUCUCUCUCCCCCUCUCCGAAUGAAGCAUUCUCGGUUGAGCUCGCUGUUCAAUUUCUCAUCUCGUUUCGGUUUCCGAAACUCACCGGGCGUUUCGCUUUACUCGACGACGACGUAUCGCCCUCACAGAGAGCCCUCGAGAGGCACACUCAACGACCUCUACCGUCGGAUUUCCCGCGCCGGAGAUCAUACAGCCCCCAUUUCCCCGAUUCUCGACCAGUGGAUCGAAGAAGGCCGAACAGCACCCAAAGGUGCAUUCGUCACCAUCAUCAAGGAGCUCAGGCAGUACAAGCAAUACAAGCACGCUCUCGAGGUACUAUGUUCUGUUUGGUUCUCUGGGAAAUGUGGAAAUGAAAUUAAUUUAGGGUUUCUUAUUCCGUAAUUUUUUUUUACUCAAUAUACUGAGAUUAUAUUGAAAUCAGUGAAAUUGAACUGUCAAUGGCUUGAAAUUAUGCUAAUUGAGUAGCUUAAUUGUGUUCCUAUCAGCAUUUGAAUGCAUAUAGAGCUUCAUUGCUUCAUUUUUGUGUGUUUAUAUUGUAUUUAUAUGUGUGUGUGUGUAUGUAUAUGUGUGUGUGUGUGUAUAUAUAUAGAUAUAUGUAGGAGAAGCUUUAUAAGAGGAUCCCGCUCCAUGGAGCGGAAUAGGAUAGUGCCCUCAUAAUGAACAUGUCAUGACCAUGUAUGACUGUUCAUAGUUUCGUGUUUUUGCCCCCACAAUAUAGGGGUGCUAUAUGGACAAUACAUAGUUAUGAAACAGUCAAUACGAGGGCACUGUCAUAUAUCUCUCCAACAGUGAAGUUGCAUCUCCUUAAGAAGGGGAUCCGAUGUUCAGUCUUUCUACGGAAUAUCAACAACAUACCAACAAUUUUAAGCUUGCAGUAUUGACAAUUUCAAUAAUAUCGAUGGCAUGUCUGCAUUUAAAGAAAAUGCAGUUAACUGCAACGUAAAAAAAUUCUAUGUGCGUGUGCGCAUGUGUAUUGGAGUCAUAGCUUCUGAACUCAAUAAAUGGGAGUGGUUUAACAGUAGUUUAGAUGCCAAUUCUGAUCACGAUGCUUUAAUAUUCAAAUAAGUCACCCAAGUAGCAAAUCUUUCAUCUGUUGCAUCUACUUGAUAUUUGGAUUUCUGGAGAAAGAUUGUCUAGCUUAGUGAGUUAGCAUCAACCCAUCUUCUUAAUAUUAGUUUAGAUCCCAAUUCUGAUAACAAUGCUUUAAUAUUCAAAAGAAGUGUCUAGUCUAGUGAGUUAGCAAGUAUCAACCCAUCUUCGGAAAUUUGAUCUCGUUUAUUUAUUCUCAGAUAUCAAUGUGGUUGUCUGACAAAAGGUACUUUGAGCUUACAAUUGCUGAUGUUGCCAUCCGACUUGAUUUGAUUGCAAAAGUUCACGGAAUAGAACAAGCUGAGGAUUACUUUAACAACAUUCCUAAAAAUUUGAAAGUUCUUGAGGUUUACUGUGCUCUCCUGAACAGCUAUGCUCGUGCAAAACUUGUGGAAAAGGCUGAGGACAUCAUGCAGAAGAUGAGGGAAUUGGGGUUUGCUAGGACAUCGUUGUCCUACAACAAUUUGCUCAAUUUGUAUCAUCAGACUGGAAACACUGAUAAAUUCAAUGUUCUAAUGAGUGACAUGAAAGAGAAGGGCAUUCUUCAUGACAAGUUCACAUAUUGUAUCCAGAUCUCUGCAUAUGCAGCUGCUUCCGAUCUUGAGGGAAUUGACAAGGUUAUGGCAGAGUGGGAGUCCGAUCCCAAGGUUCUUAUGGAUUGGGAUAGUUAUUCCAACGUGGCAAUUUCUUAUAAGAAAGCAGGAAAUGUGGAAAAGGCUUUGGCAAUGCUAGAGAGGUCUGAGAAACUGAUGUCAAGUUCUAAAAGAAAGAGGGGAGCAUAUGAGUACCUUAUGACACAAUAUGCAGCACUAGGGCAGAAAGAUAGGGUUAUGAGACUCUGGGAACUAUACAAGAAGCACAUGAAAAUAUACAAUAGGGGUUACAUAAGUAUAAUGACCUCUGUGUUGAAGAUUGGCGAUAUUGAAAGUGCCGAGAAGAUCUAUGACGAAUGGGAAUCCAGCAAUUUAUCUUUCGACAUUUGUAUCCCAAAUUUCUUGAUUGGUGCUUAUACCAGAAAGGGCCUAGUUGACAAGGCUCUAGUUGACAAGGCCGAAUCCAUUGUUAACAGGGUAAUACAAAAGGGAGAGAAACCGGAUGCAAGGUCUUGGCAUUAUUUGGCAAGGGGAUAUCUUGAUCAUGAUCAAAUUGAGAAGACAGUUGAGUUGACGAGGAAAGCACUUUCAGUUGAGGGGUCACGGUGGACACCAGAUGGGCAUGUUGUCGCCGCCUGUAUGGAAUAUAUGAAACAGAAAGCGGAUGUGGAAGGAGCUGAAGAAUUUAUAAGACUACUCGGGGAGAAGUGUAGUUUCCCCAUAAGUAUUCAGGAGAAAUUGUUAGAUUACAUUAAUAAUGAGGAUUCAGUCACUGUAGAAAUAGGUGACCUCGAAUGGGAUCGUCGGAAUGGAGUUCUGAAAGAAGCGGAUUUAGGUUCCAACUAACCGAAUCUGUCAGAUACGUAUUUCAAAAAACUCCUGAAAUUGUGGGUAGCGAAUGCAAGUCAACUUCAGGGAGUUGUAAAGAUUCUCUACCGAUUUAAGGUAUUACUUUUGUUCUGAACAUUAAGUUUGCUGCAAUUUGAAUGAACUUUUUCUUCAUUCCUAAAUUGUUUGUCCUUUUAAGACGGUUGCCAAUUUUUAUCAUCUGCAUUGGUUUUAGAAAGUAGGAACUAUCAGUGUGAGGAGCUUGUAGCUCAAAUGGGUAAGAGCGUUUACGAGGUCGAGGGUUUUUGUUUGAAUCCCUCUCUAAUGUAUCUUAUUUUACAAAAUAAAGUAGAGCUGCUUAGAAAAGAUUUGAUGAACUGAUAAGGAUUAAAAAGCAGACAACUCAAACCCAAUUCAUAUUGAAAAUUGACUGCUGAUGAAGAUUUUUUUUAUCUGACAAAGUGCUGUUAUACACUACAGAGAGGGUAUUAGUGUAGGGCCAACUGCUUCAUUGACUUCUACAACUAUCGAUCCCGAUCUAACAAAGUAAUUGAGUUCAAACAACAUAAUGUUCCUUAGCGGGCAAAAUCUUUUCCCCAACACUCAAAAACUAAAAUUUUAAUUUAUAUUAAAAUCUCGCUACAUUUUGUCCUUUGUUGGUAUAAUUUUAUUUUUUUCAACAAAAACUAAUUAAAUUUUUAGUUUGUGUGAAUGCACGUAGCAUGAGUAAAGUGAAAAUGUUAAAUGAGACGGUAAGCAGUUGUUUUUUUUUUUUUUUUUUUUUGGGGGGUGGGGGUGGGUGGGUGUUGAAUGAGAAGGCAAGCAGUCCCUUCAACGUAUCCUUUUUUUUUGGCCAAAACGUCGGUGUGAUAUUUUGGAUGUGGGAAUUUUGGGAUUUUAGGUUUGAAAGUGGGAAUUUGGGAUUGCUUCCCACCCCCAAAUAAAUAAGAUUGCAGUGGGCUGAGGGACCCACGUGAGAUCAGGAACAGCAGGGCAGCCCAUGUGGAGACAAUUCCAUGCGGGCUGGCACUAAUCAGCUGACUUGGGGGGGGUGUGGUAUUGACUGCAGGCGAGUGCACUAGCAACACGGUUUCUAUUGCCUAGAUUGACGUGUCAUUGACAUCCAAUGGUUGUUGCGCUUUUUGGGUUUUGAUCUAGUGUGGUGCGCCUAGUUACAUCAUUUUUAAAUCCAAUGACUCAAAUUUGAUUUAAUCUACUUUAAUGAUAAUAUAAAAUAUCCAAUGGCUCAAAUUUAAAUCCAACAGUCAAAAUAAUAAUAUUAAUUAAUUCAAAUUAGAUCCGACACCGAACCUCUAUAAAUACACAUCCAUUUGUUUACAAAUCCAUUAAAAAAAAAUUCAUUUUUCUCACCAAGAUUUUUUGUUUGUUUGGAAUUUGAAUUUUAUACACCAAAAUGUUCGUAAAAAUAAAGCAAGAUAGAUUAUGCAAAAUCUAAUUCCAAAAUUAUUGGCAAAUAUAAAAUCAACGAGACAUAAAAAAGUUCAAUAAAUUAUAAAAUUGGCAGUGGAAAUUCUAGGUCCCUUCCCGUUGGAGAAAAAAAUUGCCUAACCUCAUUCGUAUAGUGAAUAGAGAAAAAUAUAGGGUUAAAUUCUGGAAUUUUAGCCUAUCAAGUUGGAGAUAGCCUUAUAUACUCUUGAUUCUUAAGCAAUUUAAAAAAAAAAUCCUAUUUUUAUAAACUAAUUACUUAGGAUUGCAGAAAUGAAUAAUAAUUUUUCCCUUUGCUUCCUAUUCACGGCACCUUUCCUAGUCCGAUGGUGUAAAUACCAAAUAGCCUUGUUACAUCACAAAAAUUGACCUUUUAUUCACAAUUAAGCACAUAAAGUCAUCAAAGAAGAAAAGACACAUUCAUGGGCUUCUUAAACACCAAUUUUAAUCUAAUUAGAGAAAUGGUCCAUCAACUUAAUCUAAUUAGAAAAAUAGUCCUUCAACUUUAACUCAAUUAAAGCAAGAUCCCUCAACCAUAACCAUUUUGUCGAAAGUUCUAACGAGAUUGACGAAAAUGACUAGAUUUUUAGUCAACAUGCCAAAUCUCCAAUUAGGAGAGUUGAAGGGCUAUUAUUACAAUUUUUUCUAUUCAUUAUGUACUCAUGAUUUCUUAAAACAAUUUUUCAAAAAAAAAACAAAAAUCCUAUUUUUAUAAACUAAUUACUUAAAAUCGCAAAAAUGAAAUGGGCACAAAAUAGUUUUGGCCUUUGCUUUCUAAUCACGGCACCUUUCGCAAAGGUGACUUUUUAUUCACAACUCGGCAGAUAAAAAUCGUGAAAGAAAAAGAAAAAGAAGAAAAGACACAUUCAUGGGCUUCUGAAAAAUCAACAUAAAUUAUCAAGUGCCCACUCAAGUGGGCCCAUCCCACAUUCUGUACGUCACAACGCUUUUCUCGUUGGGAGUUCAGACGGAGGAGGAGCGUCUGUUUUGUAAACGGGCAUUUUAAGGCAUACUAGUGGGGCCCACUACCGCCGACAGUGGCUCUUAUCUUUUUGCAAAGCGGCCGUCCAACCACCCCGUUUUCUGCAUUUCAAGUCAACAGUUUCCGACCAAAACCAAAAUACAAGAAAAUUGUGCUCAGCGUGAAACUACCGUUAUACCCUUCUCCACCUUUCAGUUUUUCCUACUCCUUUGUGGGGGUGUAUUCUCUUCGUUUAAUACAAGUGAUGUAACUAGUUUAAUUUAUAACAAGGAGAAGAGGGGAAGAUUUGGACCUGAAACACAGUGAGUUAAAAAAGAAAGUCUUAAUUGUCAAGGUAAUCUACCAUUUAGUUUCAAAUUAAACGAAUAUUUUUUACAUAUCUAACCAUUUAUAUUAUAACACUUGGAGUCGAGCCGUGUUCUCAGUAUACUGAAAAAUUUAUCAUUUGGUAGGUGGCUCUUCUACCUCAUUAAAAUGGGAAAGGUACAAUAAAUAUUCGAUCCUACUAACCAUCUAUCCAACUAAUUGAAAAGAUAGUUGCUCACCCGUCACGCCCAUGCAAUACGUGAAAGAGAAAGUAGGUAUAUAGCACGUCUAGUGUCACAAACGUUCUCUUAAUCAACCGGCGAUCAAUGAAUAUAUGAUUUUCAGUAUUGAAUCUAAUAUCUAGAGUGGAGAAUAAAUAAAAAUAUUUUUAAUGCAUUAAUCUCAACUAUUGAUAUCAAAUCCAAUAGCCGAUGAUCAUGAAUCUUGUUGUUCUUCCCAUCCAAAUAAAUUACAAGAAUGGAGGGUAUUUCUGUCAGAAAAGCAAAAUAUGUGAUCUAAAUAAACAAGUGAGUGCCAUAUGUAGACUUCUCAUGUCACAAGCUUCAUAAUUCAAUUAAAAAAAGGCCAAUAACUUAGCACACAAAAACAAAAGAAAAUAAUUCAUAAAAAGAAAUAAAAAAUAAAAAAGGAAGGAAAAUAGGACCCAAACCGUACCUGUGAGUGCAUGUCAGCGUCAGACUAUUGUCUCAGCCUUAUUCGAAAUAUUAAUCAUCUGCCAAACAAGCAGAAAACCAAAACUAAGAACUCCCAAAGAAUCUCUGCUUCUUUGGCUUCCAAGAAUCCCAUUCCUCUCCUUUCCUUUCCUUUCCAAUCCGAUGCAAUCUUUCCAUCCAAAAACAAAGCAUGGGACAAGAGGGAAUUGCUUUCCUCUAUGAGCUUUGAAUUCCCCACCUCAAGGGGAGGACAUAGUCCAACUUGGAUAUUGUCUUUGCUUCUGGUUUUCCUUUCAAUAUGGUCCAAAGAAAGGUGCCAAACAAGCUUGGAAUCCAAGCUGAUCAUGAUAAAUUCGAGAAGCGGUUAUCGAACCUGAAGACUUCUUCUCAGUUCCAAGAUGGGAAACACAGAGGAGCUGAUUUGAAGAAGAUGAUGAAGAAAUCUAGAUCAAUCAAGCUUUCAGAUGUUGAGAGCUUGAGAUCAUCACCUUUGGGGAAGAACUCAUCUCAGCCAGGAAAGCCGCCACCGCCGGCUCUCAAUGUUCCAAACACUGCGGCUUCCCCUCAGAAGCAGCCCCUGGCCAAAACAACUUAUGGCUCGCCAAACUACAUGAAGCCCACCAGCUGUUCUCAUGCAAGGAAGGAGCAGUCACAGGUUAGUCUUCGAAGUUCUCCGCCAAUAUUUUCAGAUAGUAAGAACCAGAACCAAAAAAAUUCGGGCAGUUCAAAGCUUAGCUCUGCUUCUAGUAAACCUGAAAGAAGUUUAGCAAGGACAUCUAGUUUGAAGCUUGCGAGAACUUUAAUAAGGUCCCCUAGUUUUAAGCCGGCAAGAGCUCCGGCGAGAAAAUCUUCCAGGGUUGCUCUUUGUGCAGAUGUUAAUGUUCAGAGAGCAACUUGUUCUUCAACACUGAAGGAUACAAAGUUUCCGGAUUAUCUGAUGAUUAGUCCUGGGGGAACUGAAGCUGAGGGAACUUCAGUCAUGGAGGUUUGCCCGUAUACGUACUGUUCCCUUAAUGGACAUCGUCAUUCACCUGUGCCACCAUUGAAGAGUUUCUUGUCUGCGAGAAGACGUUCAUUGAAGACCCAGAAGAUGAUGAAAUUGCAAGCUCAAAGUCCACGUGGAGCAAAGCGAUGUAAUGAUGGAGUAAAAGAAAUUGAUUUCCAGCAGAUGUUUGAUGAGAAUGACAAAACAGCUGAGAAAGAAGCUGAUUUGGAUUUCUUUGUUGAAAUCUAUGCUACAAACAAGGAAGAUGACACCGAGGCAAUUGGAAGGAAAGCCGGAGCUGAUUUUGUAGGAGAACAAGAUGGUUACGAGGGUCCUGUGUUUCCAAAUUCUGCAAGUGAUGAAACAGAAACAGUAGAUUAUGCCAACAACCUAGUUGUGGAGAACCUGUCGGAUAGAUCACAGCAUUCUGAGAGUGAAUCUGAGGCAGAAAGCUUUCGCGAAUUUCCUGAAGAUCGAAAAGAAGAAGCAAAUGAAGACUACGGAUCACAGUCCGAUCAAGAGGAAAAUUCCACUGGAAGCUGCUCGAACGAGAGCAACUCUGAAGACCUUUCAAGCACUGAAAUGGAGGAUGCAACGGGAGCCCUGAUAAAGGGAAUUCAGAAACAGAUCAAAACGUUCCAAGUGGUGACUUUGGCUUAGAACCCAAACUCCCUACUGUGGUGUCUGAAAAUCAAAUGGAAGCAAUAGAGCAAAUUGGUGAUGUGAAACCAUCACCGGAGAUUCAGCUUUCUGAUUUGGUGCACGAUGCUUCUGAAGCUGAUGAAGAUGCUGUCAAGGUUGACGAUUAUGAAAAUUACAUGAAGACUGAACCUCUCCAGCUUAAUGACAUUGCUGAAGAUGGUAACCUGUCCAAUGGGAAGUACAAGAAGCCUAUAACUUCAAGUUCCAAUGAAUCUGAGGAUCAGAGUGAUUUAAGGCUGAAAAAAUCAGGUAUCUCCAAUAGCAACACAGGACAACCUGACAAUGUGGAAGUGAAAAACAAUUCAGAGCCAGAAGCCACAAAAAAAUUCAACACGGCCAAUAAUAGCAUUAGCCCUGGGAUGAAGAGAAAAAUUUCCGAGGCAGCAAGCAACUUCGACCAAGAGCUUCCCAACACCUACAACUACUGGAAAAGAAUCAAAUGCAAGAGACUUAGCAUGGAUGAGGAGGAGCAAAGGAAGUUCAAUCCAAGAGAACCAAAUUACCUACCUUUGGUUCCUGACCCCGAAGCAGAAAAGGUUGACCUCAGGCAUCAGAUUAUUGAUGAAAAGAAAAAUGCAGAUGAAUGGAUGCUUGACUUUGCACUCCAGCAGGCUGUCACGAAACUUGCUCCAGCAAGGAAGAAGAAGGUUGCACUGCUUGUUGCAGCUUUUGAAACGGUCAUGCCAGCUCCCAAAGUGGAAAAACAUCUCAGGCAUACCUCCGCAGCCUUCAGUCAUGCAAGACCUAUGCAAGCUUGUAGUUGAUGAUAGUUAUUGAGGUGAAUAUAUGAUCGCUAUCUCCAAACCUUCAGAUAUUAAUUCUAAUAGCUGUUCGUGAGCUCAUAUUGUUAGUAUCAAAUAACAAAGGGAACCCAUUCACAUAUUGUUGUGCAGGUGAAAAGUCUGCAAUAUUGAUAUUAAGUUACUGAAGCAAAAGCACAAGAACAUAGAAGAGCUACAUUUCCAGCAGAACACGACUCACCGUUUCUUGGAUCCUGUCAGAACUUCUGAAGAGGAAGGAGGCAGCUUCAUGCAGUGACGAUUCUUGAGUAGUUUCUCCUAGCUCAGUGGAUGUAGUGCUAGUGUACUUUGAUUAAUAAUAAUAUGUAAUGGCAGAUUAAUGUUAUAUGUUGUGAGUUGCUACCAUCUUUCCUUUGCUGUUGUACGAGGCACUGGUCUCCAAAACAAUAUAUAUGGUUGUUUGCUUAAUAUGCAUGUCAACUGCCAACUGACUGCCAUACUCACAUUCAAAACGUCAUUCUAGCAACACUAAAGGUACAACUAAUUUAAAGCAGCUCGUGCAUGCAUACGGGGCUUCUAGCUCAAGCGGUUAGGAGCAUUUAGCUCCACACUCGAGUUCCUGUAUUCAAUUCCUACUCUCCCAAUAUCACUUGUAUCAGGGAAAACAAAAGUUGCUCAUGCAUGCUACAAUAACUUACAGUUAUUCACAUGAUACUUAUAUCUACAACGUCUUACCAUCGCAUUGUAACAAACGAAAACAAUUAUAAUUAAGAUUUCCAAGAAUAUCAUAUAUAAACAUAAUGAACCCAACUGGAAACACUUCUCAAAAUGUAUAAUUCCUAUAACAUGGGACUCUAGCAAAUAAUUCUCAGAACUCGAUUCACAAAUGUCAAAUAAUUACUCACAAAAUUACAACAACAAUCUCGUCUAUGGUAGAUGUACGUUGACUGCAGGACACUUGACAAGAAGUGACCGGAGUUCUGCAAGGUGAUUGCCUAGGCCACUAACAUGUGAUAUUUUCUCUGGCGAACCAACUUCAAGAGAACUAGUAGUAUCAGAGAUUUCACUCUGUUCUCUAUCUUUUUUCGCAAUCAUAUCAUCGUACAAAUACCCGAGGGCAUCUUUCGUUGAAAUAGAAUGCACAGAUUCAAACAAUCUUUGAAAUCCAUUUCUUUGUUCUUCUGUUUCAAUCAACUUCUCCCUUAAACCAUCUGGAAGGCAAGCCAGCGCACUAUGGAUGGAAGAUACCCCAGAAUGGAUAGAGAAGAAAACAAAACUAAAGUAAGAUAUAUAGAAAUUCCAAACAGUACAAAGAUUUAUGCAAGCGAGAUAUUACUACAAAAUAAUAUUUGCUUCUUUAUAUUACCUAGUAACACCUCUGACAAGACCCCAGUUGUACCCAACAAGGACCGAUUUCUUAAAGCCAAUAUUAAAUCCCUCUUGUGAAGAAGCUUCUUUUCCCGCUAUUACACCAUCACGGUAACCAGUCUACAUAUCAACAAAUUAAGCACAUAUUAGAGAACUACCUGAAUUAUGCCCGUAAAACAACUAACUAAACCCACGUAAUGACGAAAGUAUGUCUGAACUGUCAAACAACCGUAUGGUAUUGGUUAUGUCUCCUCUGCCAUUCCCUGCCCAAAGCAGAUUGUUCAUGCAAUUCAUCGUCAGAAGCACACCAAGAUGCAUCUUCAUCACAUGGCUCAACUCUAUCAUGGUCUGCAAGAAAACAUUAAAAAGAUUACUUACUACAGAGAACAGCAAAACCACAGCAGUUAUACACUAACGCAUUUACUUAUCUACGGCUGACUAUAAGAUGAAAUUAACAAAUAUCAUAUGUGGAUCACCGUUAUACGGAAAAAAUGGUGCUUUAAACAAUUAAAAUACCGUGUAGAUCACUUUCUAUACUGUUCGCACUGGGUGUAGGAUCCAAUUGUAUUUUUUCUAGGCUUAAACUUUCUGAGUAGAGCUCAUGAGCAAAACUUCCCUCCAUCUGUUACAGCAUAAAGCAAACACCAAAAUCAAAAUUACUAUAAGAGCAAAGACUGAUGUAACAUCGAGCUUCUAAACACUAACUUUAACAGGAAAAUGUACAAGAAAAUUAGAAGAGGAAUGUGUUUUAAUGAUACAAUCCUAGAACAUAAAAUCCAGAAGACGUAAAGACCAUGACCACCGGAAAAAACCAAUGCAAACUACAUAGCCUCAAGCACAAAGCUAAUAAGAGCAUAGUAUAUUCACCAAAAGCUCAAGAACACUACAAGUUCAACCUGAUACAUAUUAUGUCCGGUCCCGAAACCUAGGACAUGACUUGGUUGUGGAUUAUGUUACAGGAAAAUGGCAUCUAUUAAUACUUUUAGUAGUGUCCCGUCGUUUUAGUUUUCCUUUGAUUCCUAAAUUUACAGAACCUAAAACAAUUCAAGUAACCAUGUUCAUAUCCUCGGCUACAACCGAACCUCCCCUUCCCUCCAAAUGCAUUUCCCCAUCACAGAUACUAUAAUCAUAUCACAUAGAACAUACUGGUCCUCAAUCCCCAUUACUAAAGCCGUACGAUUAAUAUCCAUCACUCCAAAGGGACAAAUGCCAUACACACAACCACAAAGGAAAAAAUACCACUCCGUUGGAGCGACACACGGUGCACUCUCGUUGCCAUACUUGAAUACAACUUCAUCAAAUUCCAUUUGAUCAAUCCGCAAUCGCAUGCCAAGCAGAAAAAGAAACAUAAAAUCCAACAUUCCAUUCAAAUGAUUCCAUUGAGAUAAAACUUUCAAUUUCCAAAAGGUUGUAGUAAUUGAACUCAAAUCAUAUAAAACACUUGAGAAAUUCAACUCUAAACAUCUCAAUUAACGAUUAAAAUUAAGAUUAAUCGUAAAACAAUUCAAACAGUUCUAAACAAUCGUCAAGAUUAUAUCAAAAUAAAUCACACCACCAUAAAGUUACACAAAGAGAGAGAGGGGAGAUGGGAGAAAGAGAGUGAAACUGACCUGGAGAAAAAUAAAAAAAUGGAGAGGAGGAGAAGCUGCAGAGGUUACAACACUUUGUUAACGCCAACAGGUUUUGGACCAUGCGCCUUCGGCUCGUAGAAGAAGAUGACUUGAACGCACCGUUUCAGCCUUUAAGAGUGUGCUCCAAUAAGAUAAAAAGAAAAAAUCCAGAUGUCAAAUAGCCACUGGCUGGAACACCAACUUACGUGGAGUUCCCGGAACCCCGAAAUAUUUCUCCACCCUCUGAGGAGCCGGAGAAGAUUUGUGUAAUGGUUGUUGGGCCCUUUAUGGGCUUAUGACGUGCUAUUUAUUUUUCGCCCGGCCUCUUGGUGCAUCUCCUGUCGCUUCUAAUACAAGAUUUUUUUUCGAUAAACGAUAAUGUUAGAGGAUUAAAUUGUAAAUGUAACGGUAGGAAAAUUGAUGUUGGCACUAAAAUGCAAAGAAGAAAAGGGAAAAAUUGCAUUUUACAACCCAAGUUGGUCCAUCAACACAAAGAUCCCCCCAUGGUUUGGCGAUCUUAGAUUUGACACAUUUUAUUAUGCUCACUUUGUAGAAGGGAAAUUUUAUUUAGACCCAUUUAUCCUAUUUCUAUACCUAAUUUAUUAUUUAUUAUUUUGAAAUUCCAAAUGUGCCAAAUAAUUCUCUUUCUACCUCCAACAAAAAGAAAAAGAUAAUAAUAAUAAUUUAGCAAUAGGUAACUCCAGCCACCUUAUUUCUUCAAACCUCAACCACCUAGUUUCUAACCUCCCCAACGCCACCUCCCUUACCACCCACAAAAAUUUGGAAAUUAGAACAUUAUUCCUAACAACCCACGAUUAAAAAACCCAAAAGAAACAUGUCAAUAUUUUUUUUCUUUUGUUUUUUGGAAAAAUUAAUGGUAUUAUUAGCAUAUGGUCCAACACAAUUAGAUUUGACACGUCAACAAUUUCAGCAUAAUUUGGACAUGUUAGAAGGACUGCAUGGAAGAGAGAGAUAUUGUGUGGCCGGCAAAAGGUCGGCAAAGGGACAUUGAUGGCUAAGAUCUUUGGGGGUUUCAUUGUGGGUGAUAAGAAGAUGGCGGUGGAGGGGGGGGAUUGGGGAGGGGUAGAAAUUGGGGGUGGUUAGAGUUUGGAGUAAUGGCAUGGCCCGGGAUAUCUACUGUUGAAAUUUUAUAUUUUAUAUUUUUGUUCUUUUUCAUUAUGGGUGUAGAUAGAAAAUUGUUGGGCAGAUUCAAAAUUUCAAGAUUAAAAACUAUAAGUUGGGUGUAAAAAGAUGAUAAAUGAAUUUGAAUAAAAUUUCCCUUUGCAGAAUUGUGUUACUUUAACAUUCUGACCACGCUUUCUCUUCUUUGCCUAAACUUGGAAAGCCCCUAUCUACCAUGCUUUCUCAAUCAAGCGUUGGAUGCCAGAACAAGAAAGUCAAUCAUUAGGAGCAAUUGCAUUCCAUACUUACCAACCACAAAAAGUCGAAUGUUUUGAGGAAUUAUAUUGCAAACCAAUCGCAAAGUAGACCCGUAACAGGCUGGUAAAACCAGGAGAGAAUCUCUCUUUGCACCCAAUGCAUAAUCGUCCACCAUAAAUUGAAAUGAAGAAACAUAGGUAUGAUAACAAUAAAGAUUGCAUUACUUUGUGGGCUUUCUUUUCUUUUUUGUUUCCAAAAAUGAAGAUGAGUAUUUACCAAGUUUUAUCGAGGAAAAUCACCCGACUGUUGCAUCUUCCAACAUAUCGAUGUGGUACAAUGAGGUUAGUUGGGAUUCGCCAUGUUCUUCAUUGGACUCAAGAUCACAAGCAUCUUCAACAUAUCCAGAUCGCCUCAUCUGUUCAAGGAGCAACUUCAAAACAUAAUGUAUUUCUUUCCUUUGAGGAUGCCGUUUGUCUUUCACUAGGAAAACAUGCACAUGGCCCUGUAUUUCAAUCCACCUACAACUUGGUUGCUUGAUAACUCCUCGUUGCCUCGUCAGCUUCCUUACUCGUACAACAUCAGCCCAUAUCCCGAGCUCAGCAUACAUAUUUGAGAGAAGAACAUAUGGUCUAGAGUUCUUAGGUUCAAUAUCUAAGAGUUUCUCCGCCACAUACUCCCCUAAGGUAAUGUUACGAUGAACUUUACAAGCAGCAAGCAAAGACCCCCAUAUAACAGCAUUAGGUUCAAUUGGCAUGUCCUCUAUCAAAUUUUUGGCAUCAUUAAGGCAACCAGCUUGACCGAGCAGAUCAACCAUACAUGUAUAAUGGUCAGUCAAUGGUACCAAACCAUGUUCCUCACUCAUAAAGUAAAAAUACUUUUUUCCUUCAUUGAUAUGUCCCUUUCCUCGAUCUGAUGCUAACCAUUUUUCUAAAUAUUUCAAGAGCUUCAGUCCCGUAACCAUUUUGUGCAUACCCCAUAAUCAUGGCAUUCCAAGAGACAUAAUCCCCUUCCAACAUGUUUAUAAAAACUCGAUAGCCAUCUUCAACAGAUCCGCAUUUCAUAUAUAUGUCUAUUAGAGAAUUUUCGACAAAAAUAUCAGGCUCUUCACCGGCCUUGAAUGAAAUCCGUGCUUCAAUACGUGUACAUGAACCAGCCUGCCAAGCUGCAUAUCAACAAGAUAUGCACAAGCAUUGAGUAGAUUCCCAAAUAUAUAGUGGGUUGGCAAAACAGACUCAUUUUUCAUGAGGAGAAAAAGUCCAAAGGCUUCUUCAUAUUCCCCAUUCGGUGUGUAACCUGUAAUAAGUGUGUUCCAGGAGACUAUAUUUCUUUCCAUUAUCCUUGAAAACAUCAAUCUUGCAGCUUUUACCCUUGCUGAUUUUGCAUAUCCACUUACCAUGGAAGUUUCUGAGACAACAUUUCUAACAUGCAUCCCAUCAAAAAUCCAUCUGGCUUCUUUUACUCUUUUGCAUACAUAUCAACUAAUGCAUUGCCUAAAACAAGAUCAUCCCUGUAUUUAGCACAUUUUACAACACAAGCAUGAAUUUGCUGCCCUUCCUUUAUUGCUGACAAGUUUGCGCAUGCAUUCACCACACUGACUAAAGUUAGUUUAUCCGGUUUGAACCCACACUCCAUCAUCAGCACAAAAACUUCUAGGGCUUCACUUGCUAGGCCAUUUUGCUGAUAACAAGUAAUUAAAUUGUUCCAAGAAACAGUAUUCUGGUCAUUCAUCCCAUAAAAAACUCAGUUUGCACAAGAAACACUCCUACAUUUAGAGUGCUGUGAUAUUUGGAAGAUUUGUAUAUUGAUUGUGUAUAAGAAAUUACAAGGGCAUGAAAUAUAUACAAGAAAAGAGGUGUUGUGAGUCACACGGAAGACAUCACACACCAUACUUAGACCCAUGCUUUGUACAAUCUAAGUCUUAGCUACUUUACAUCAUGACCCUAAAUGUUAUAACACAUGCUAACCCAUACUUAGAUAUUAGGUAUUCUAACACUCCCCAUUAAGCGAAGGCUAGCUGGACCAAAAGAGUGUUAAACUGAACACGAGACAAUCCUUUGGUGAAUAUAUUUUCUAGUUGAUCUUUGCUUUGAACAAACAUAGGUUGAAUGACAUUGGAUUGGGUUUUUUCUCGAACAAAAUGAUAGUCCAUUUCAAUGUGUGUGGUUCUUUCAUGGAAAACAGGAUUUGAUGCAAUGUAAAUAACAGCUUGAUUAUCACAGAAAAAAGGCAUAAGUUGUGUUGUCUUGAACCCUAAGCUAUUGAGCAAACCUUGCAGCCAAAUCAACUUAUAGGUAGUAAAGGCCAUGGCAUGAUAUUCAGCUUCUGCACUUGAUCGAGCUAUCACAUUUUGUUUUUUUGUUUUUCCAUGCACCAAAUUUCCCCUAACAAUGUGAGCAUUUCCAACCUUUUUCAUCAUAAUCCCAGUCCCAAUGGUACCCUUCAAGUAACGCAAGAUCAUUCGAACAGCUUGUAAAUGAACUGAUCGAGAAGAAUGCAUGAAUUGACUAACUAGGCUCACAACAUGCAUAAUAUCAGGAUGAGUAAUGGUAAGGUGAAUAAGUUUCCCUACCAAUCUCUGGUAUAAGCCAACAUCUGUCAACAAAUCUACAUCCAAUCCCAGUUUCUUUUUGCAAGCAAUUGGAGUUGCCAUUGGUUUUGCUUCAAGCAUUUUUUAUUCUUGGAGUAAAUCUAAUAUGUACUUGCGUUGAUUCAAGAGCAAGCCUUUACUAGAUGAAGCAAUUUCAAUUCCUAUAAAGUACUUCAGAGUUCCUAGAUCCUUGAUUGCAAACUUUCCGUGGAGAAUACCCUUAAGCCUCUGAAUUUCUGUCAAAUUGUCACAAGUCACAAUGAGAUCAUCAACAUAGAUGAGAGCGACAAGUUUACCUGCUGAACUAUCUUUCACAAACAAUGAGGAAUCUACAUUGCUCUUUUUAAACCUAAUGCCCUCUAACACAGAACUUAGCUUGGCAUACCAAGCUUGAGAUGAUUGCUUAAGACCAUAAAUAACCUUGUGUAAUUUGCAAAACCAUGCCAUUUCCUUCUUGUGGAUGUCCCGGAGGCAAAUGCAUGUAGACAUCUUCUUUAAGUUCUCCAUGCAGGAAGGCAUUCUUAACAUCCAUUUGAAAUAAAGGCCAAUCAUGGUUGACAUCAACUGAGAGAAGCACUCUCACUGAGUUUAUCUUUGCCACAUGAGUAAAGGUUUCCUUGUAAUUUACACCAUAGGUUUGAGUAAAACCUCUAGCCACCAAUCUAGCUUUGUGUCUCUUCACUGAACCAUCACUCUUGAAUUUGGUCUUGUACACCCAUCUACACCCAACAGCUUUCAUCCCCUUAGGUAGCUUAGUGAUGCUCUAAGUUUUGCUUUCAUUUAAAGCCUUAAGCUCCUCAUCCAUCGCUGUUUGCCAGAUCAAUUGGGAAUUAACUUCUUGGAAUAAGCUUAGUUCAGAUGAAGCUGAGAUUUUGCUUAGGAAAGUAGCAUGAGAGGGAGAUACCUUUGAGUAUUCAAGAUACUUUUCUAUAGGAUAUCUUGAAGUGUAGCUUACAUAAUCUUUAAACCAGGUUGGCUUACCUCGAUUUCUACUAGGGUUUCUCCUAGGAAUGUUCACUUCAGGAGUAGUAGCAAGAUUCUCUUUGGACAAAAUGUGAUUCUGGUCAGUGCCUUCAGCUGAUUCAUUAUCAACGAGUAUAUCAAAUGGUUGAUCACACUCAACUAGAGCAAUUGAGAUUUCUUUGUUGCUUGGUAGGUUUGAAACCGAAUGGUGAUGAGGUUGCAAGUUGGUUUCUAUAAUUGGCAUGGGAAUUUGGCCAAGAAAAUCCUCCCCUAAAAGAUCUUCAUCCCUGGUACUUGCAAAGAAAGGAACUUUCUCAUCAAAACUCACAUCUCUAGACACAAUGAGUUUAUUGCGUUUUGUAUCAUAACACUUGUAUCCCUUUUGAACAGAUGAGUAUCCUAGGAAUACACACUUUGCAGCUAUAGGAUCCAAUUUGUCUUGAUGCAAGCUUUGAAUAUGAACAAAACAAACACAUCCAAACACUCGAAGAUGAGACAAGUUGAUUUUCCUGCCCUUAAGUGUUUCAAGAGGUGACUUGAAUUUGAGAACUUUGCUUGGAAUUCUAUUAAUCACAUAUAUAGCAGAAGAAUCCCAUGUGACCAAAAUUUCUUGGGUACACUCAUUUGAAGCAUAAGUGAUCGAGUUUUUUUUCUUCUAGAAGAUCACAGUUCUUCCUUUCUGCCACUCCGUUUUGUUGUGGAGAACCAACACAACUUGUUUGAUGAAUUAUUCCAUGGCAAGUUAGAUAUUGAGUAAAGGCAUUGGACAUAUACUCAGUACCAUUGUCUAACCUUAGAACUUUAAGUUGAGUUGAGAAUUGAUUUGUAACAAGACUAUGAAAUUCUUAGAACACAAAAAUAACUUCAUUUUUGGAUUUCAACAAAUACAACCAAGUACAUCUUGAGAAAUCAUCAACAAAAGUGACAAAAUAUUUAAAACCAUCAAAGGAAUCCAAGGCUGCAGGGCCCCAAACAUCAGAGUGCACAAUCUCAAAAGGUUUACAUGACUUGGUUAAUGAGGAAUCAAAUGGCAACCUCGCUUGUUUUGAAAAAUGGCAAACUUCACAAUCUUGAGUCAUCACAUUCCCUGAAGUUCCGAAGAGAUGUGAUUGCACAAGAUUAUAAGGAUGCCUUAAUCGUUUAUGCCAUAUAGAUGAUUCUGCAAAAAUCCAACUUGAAGACCUCUAGCUUCAACAGGUUGCAAGGAAAGCAUAUAUAGGCCAUCUUUAUAAAUGCCCUCACCAAUCUUCUUCUUUGUUAUACGAUCCUAGAAAACCACAUUGAAUGGCGAGAAUAUAACAUCACAGUUUAAAGAAUUGGUCAACUUUCCAACUGACAGAAGUUGGAAUGGAAAAAAGGGCACAUAUAGAGUAGUCGAUUCAACAUUUGUAUCAAAUAUCUUAACUUUUCCUUUACCCAAGACUGAUACACCAAUUCUAUUAGCAAUAGAAACAAACAGUGGAAUAAUUGCAUCUUUAAACUCAUGCAUAUCUCUUUUUAUAUUUGUCAUGUGGUCAAUUGCUCCAGAGUUUAUUAUCCAAUUUGCAAGAUUUUUGGAUGUAAGUGCAGUACUAAAUGAAUUUAGAAUACCUGACCUAUCAGUGGAAGAUGAUGCCUUUGUCUGAAGAAAUUUUGUGAACUGUCCAAAUAAAACAGCAGUGCUGACUUCACUAUUUCCUUUAUGAGGAUUGUUUCCAUCAUUCUCAUGAACGAAGGAAGUCAACUCACUUAAGAUAGCCGAGGGAUUAGAUAUGAAGGUCUCAGUAGUUGAGGUAGUCUGUGAGCAAGAGACCUGACUUGCACUACGACCAGACUUGGUUUGCUUGACAAAGUUAGGUUUAAGAUGUGGAUACAAAACCAACAAGUGUCUCUGAGAUGAUUCUUCUGCCCACAAUGGUUGCAUUGCAUCUUUCAUUUCUUUCCUUUAAAGUUUUUCCCUUCGAACCUUCUGUCACUUGCAGCGAAGGCUCUGGACUCAGGGUUACUAACUUUAGUACUCAUAACUUUUGUUCUUACUUCUUCUCGCUGGAUAAUAGUGCAUACAAUAUUGAGAGAUGGCAAUUCAACACUCAUCAAUAUGUGGCUUCGCAUGUCUUCAUAAGCAGAGCAAGACUGGACAGGAGCUGAAAGAUCUUGUCUUAUUCAGCUCGCUUAAGGAGGACUGCUGGAUCUGUGGUGUGAGGAUGAUAAAGAUUCAACUCAUUCCAUAGAGACUUCAGUCUUCUUAAGUGCUCAAUAAAAUACUUUCCAUCUUGAUUCAGAAGAGAAAGACUCUUUUGCAGCUGAAUUAUCUUGGCUGCAUAGUUUUGAUUUCCAUACAUCUCCUUGACAGCCUUCCAUAAAUCAAAGGCUGAUUCUGAGAAAUUGAAGAUUUAUGAUACCUUUGAGCCCAUCGAGUUGAGCAACCAGGUCAUGACGAGCUGAUCUUUGCACAACCACUCUUCAUACUUAGGAUCACCAACCUCGGGAGCUACGACAGUUCUAUUGAUGAAACCAAGCUUAGAUCUUCCUCUAAGAGCUAAAGUAACAGCUCUUGACCAAGGAAGAUAAUUAAACUCAGUUAGAAGUAUAGAGCAAAGGCGUUGAUUGGGAUUUCCAUCAGCUUCACUUGAGGAGGCUGAUGAAGGAACAAGGAUGUUCUCGGAUCAAGCAUCAAGAAUAUUUUCUUCUUCCAUUUCAAAGGAUUUCAAAGAACAGGUUCUUUAGGAAGCUUGCUCUAAUACCAUGUGAUAUUUGGAAGAUUUGUAUAUUGAUUGUGUAUAAGAAAUUACAAGGGCAUGAAAUAUAUACAUGAGAAAAGUUGAUAUGAGUCACAUGAAAGACAUCACACACCAUACUUAGACCCAUGUUUUGUACAGUCGAAGUCCUAGCUUCUUUACGUCAUGACCCUAACUGCUAUAACACAUGCUAACCCAUACUUAGAUAUUAGGUAUUCUAACAAGUACAUACCGAUAAGUGCAGACCCCAUGUAUACAUCUGAUGAGUACGAGGAUUUUGCAAUUAAAGCAUGAAUUUGUACACCAUUUUCAACUCUCUUAAACCUACACAAGCACUAAGAGCAUUACCAAAAGAGUAUUCAUUUGGCACAAAAUCCUCCCUAUGCAAUCUAGCAAACUAGUCCAAAGCCUUUUCAAAGCGGUGAUGCUGGGCAAACCCUGAUACCACCGAAGUCCAUGAGCACUGGUCAGGCACAUGCAUUAACCUGAAAAUCUGCACAGCCACAUCAAUUAGACCCAACUUUGUUAAUACGCUUCUAAUAGAGUUCCAGGUGAAAAUGUUCCUUUCAGGCAUUGUAUCAAACAGUUUGCGUGCAUCAUCCAAGCGGCCACAUUUUCCAUAAGCAUCAAUGAACCUAUUAUGGAUAAAAAUCUUUGAGGAAAAUUGGAUCUUGAUAAUACAUGCAUGGAUGCGACGUGCAUCACGUGCAAACUUGGUUCGAUCGGAUGCACGAAUCCAAAAGCUUCACAAAGGGUGUGGAGUCGAGGAAAUAGAGAUCACCCACAAGAUGUAUGAACAAUCCAUGUCUAGUUCCGAUUUCGGGGUUUUUGAACUUUAAUCAUCGUAAAUGAUUGAAAUUUUAUUAAAAUAUGAUGUUAGAUUAUUAAUUGUUUCUUGUUAUAAAUUGGCGGAAGAGGGAGAAAACAUUGCCGGAUGUGAAGUGGAACAAAAUCAGAGUAUCAUAAUUUUUUGUUAUUUUUACUUGUUUUGGGUAUGAGAGAUGGAUACAAAAGAAAACGAGUGAAAAAAAUUUAUAUGGUUUUUUUCUACAGUUGUUUGCGCUUUUUGUUGUUCACAAGAAAGGACUGAAGCUAAGUUUUUUUCAAUUUAUUUUUCAGAGUCUAAACAUGGCUCCUUUAUACAGGCAAAUAUCACCGUCUCAUAGAUAUUGUAGCAAAAUUGUAAGUACUAUUCCACCCUUAUGCAAUGAACCAUUUUACCCACAUGGGUAUCCAUACUUUACUUACAACACUCUUCCUUGGAUGCCUAUGCACCAUCGAUCAGUUGCCUCAUAAAAACCUUGCUAGGAAAAAACCAAUAGAAAAACUCUUGUUGAAAAAAAAAAAGUACAACUUUGUUUAGAUUAUUGGAUUAUUAAUACAAUGUUGGGUGCACUUUUGUUGCCUCGUUAAAAUCUUGCUAGGAAAAAUUAUUUAGGGGGUCAUAUGUAAAAGUUGACAAACAUUUCUUAAACGUAUAAUAACCUUAAAAAUCAAACUGUAGUUUCAUUAUUCAUAACUUAUAGAACAAAAACAAUAAAAGUUACAAUUGUCCACUAUAUAGUCUAAAAUAAUCCCAAAAAUUCUAGAGGCUACACAUGGACUUUUGCUUAAGAAAGACAAGAUUGCCCUCAUUAAAUGGGCAUAUUCCUUAGAUACUCUCACGAGCAGCUCACACCCAUGAAGUUCACUGCAACUGAAUACGACUGCCCAAAACUCACCUGCCUUUGGCAAGAAAAAGUCAAAGCAUUAAAGAUGAUGGUUAAUUACCCAAAUCCUUUAUGUAAUACAUUCUCGAUUGACUCCAUUCAAGUAAGCAAUCCCUAUUUAAAUCAAUUAGGGAUGAUUACUCCAUUAUCUCAAGAUAUUUAUUUCCUAUUUAAUAUCUUGAGAAUAUUUCUCCAUAAACUUUUACCAAUAGGAUGCUUCCAUGUGUAGGGUAAAAACCCUAACACCAUGGCGGGCCACUCCCCUGUAUACCUCAUAUUCUAUCAAAUUUCGGUAAGCUUUUGUUACCUCUAAAAGUCCUAAACACUUUACUCUUCUCAGAAAAAUUAACUUAGGCAUUAGAGAUCCAUUGGCCUCCCAUCUACCUCGUGGGUGCAUGAGGCUUAGGUCUUUGAUCAAAGGUAUUGAUUAUUUUGCAGGUGCAUUUUCGCCAUUUUCGUCAAAAGUUAGAGACAGCGAAAAUUUGCAUUGACAAAUUGGUUCUUUCAUUGAGAGCUGAUUCAAAUAGUCGAAUAAGCCUCUUGCAUUUAGUUUCUAGAAUUUUCUGUUAUGUUGAAUUUCUCACACGUCAUAUCAAUUAAUUUUUCCUAGAAAAGUUUCUUGAUCAAUCCCAGAGAAAGGAUACAAUGGUAGGAAAUUCUGAAACCGCGACGAACGGAACCCUAUACGUAUAAGGAUUUGGACCAGAGAGUAGAGACGAUGAGAUAGCCCCGAGACGGCGAUCCUGAAGGCUCAAUGCAACAGCAGGAAGAGCAACGCCAGCACCGUCACCGUGACCCAGCAGCCACUGCAAGGCCACCAGGCCACGACCCUGAUGCAUGCAUCAUUGCCUUUGCAACAGCCCAAUCCUCAAAACCCUGGGCAGGAGGCCCAGAGCUUGGCAGCUACCACAGCAAGCCGAAUGCAGGAGGCUUAGCCCAUUACAACAGCAAGCCCAGUCUCACGGUAGCCCAACAAAGCUGGCUUAGUUAGCAGGAGCAACCUACCAGGAGGUAGCCCAACCCCACUGACACGCCCUAACCCCGAUAUCCCCACAUAACAGGGUAGGCACAUGCUGGCCAACACUUGAGGGUGACGAAGCCAUUUUAAACACGGAUACUAAUAAAAUAUAUGCAAUUAGAACGAUUAUACCAAAGUAGGAACGUGUUCAAAGCAUACAACCAACUAAAAAUAAUAUGAAAGAAUGACUAUAAAAAUAUAUGAACCAGGAAAUGAUACCUAUACUGAGAAGACUCGAGGAUUACUACGCUGAAGUGCCCUAAUGCCGGGAUCAUAUGCCUCGAUCCUAACUCUUGAGGGGUGCGCAAAAACAGAAAAGGUGAGUGGACCAUAAUUUAUAAUAAUACUAAUAAUACAAAAACCAGUUUAUUUUAGAACAUACUAACCCCUUAUUUUGAAAACACAUAUAUAAUACUACAUAUAAGUUUUAUGAAAAACCCUAGCAUGCCAUGAAAAAUAUUUGUGAAACAUGUACGUGUAAAACCAUGCUCAAUAAUGCUGAAAACGUUGCCCGAAGGAAAAUCCGUAAAUCUCCUCAAUACUGUACUCUUUAGGGGUAUCAUAGUUGCCUGAAGGCAGUACCUGUCCAUCACCUGAAGGUGAAACUGUACAACACUGGGUUACGCCAAUGAAGAAACAUGGUAGGCCUCAUUACUCGAAGGUGAAGCUGUAUAAAAUAGCAUCCAUCCACACCGACACUAGCCGGGCUAGUGAAGCUGUCCGACACUACUUUCAGCAAUGAAACUGAGGGUAUAUCAUAUAUCAUAUCUCACUCCUCCUCAUCAAUUGUGUCAUUCGGCCAUAGACAUCUAUACCCGUGUUGUGUGGAUGUGUCGUAUGAUAACCCACUAGAUAAGUGCCAAAAACAUAUCUCAAAACUCGUAUCAAACAUCGGAGCUCAAAAGCUCAAACCUCGUCUCAUAAAUCCAUGGAAAAUCAUAUUCAUAAAUCCAUAAUAAACAAAUACGUGAAUCCAUAGAAUUUCAUAAACGAAAAUCCAAUGAUUCAUAACCUUUAGUAAUAUAAAAAUCCAAUAAAUCGUAAUUAUUCCGUAAAAGCAAUUUAAAUAAAUCUUAAGUAUGAAAAUCCGUAUAACAUAAUAUAAAUCAUGCUCCAUUCAUAAAACAUGCAAUGCAUGCUAGGCUAAUAUCUUAUAAAAAUAUAAAAGUUUAGAAGGGGUCCACUCACGUAUUUUAUUGCCCGAGAGCUGCUCGAACUAGCAAGGAUUGUGCCACUUCUUAUCGACGUACCUAAGCACAAAUAGAGGUCAUUAGUAAAACUCUAUCAAAAUAGUCGAAUUUGGGGAAAACAGAUCAGGGCGUCGAAAUUAGCCUAGGAAAGGUCCCUAUCGAAACCAGAAAAAGUCAAUGUUGACAAUCAACAAUCAAAGUCAAUGGUCAACGCUGACCGGAAGUCAACGGUCGGGUCAAGGUCAACAGUCUAGAGGGUGCAGAGAAGAGAGAUGAGGGAAAAUGUUCCCUAGGGAGAAACAAGAAGGGGAAAAAAAAUAGAGAAUGAAAGUUCUACAGAAAGAGAGGGAUCACAGGAGAAACUCCCAAAAAUGAGGGAAGAAAUUGCCACGUGUCAACUCGGGGUUGGUUCAAGGUGAAAAUAUCUUUCAUGACAAAAUUACCAAAAAUACCCUUAUUGCUUUGAGUCUUGUAAAAUCUUCGAUUUAGCUCCAAAUUCACUUCCGCUUGCCUCCCUGCAUUCGUAAUGAUGAGUACUAUGAGGCUACGUCAAGGGAAUGAAUUUUACAUGACACAACAAGAUGAUCAACAAAAGUCAAUGUAUUUGCCUCGAAGGGCAUUUUCAUAAUUUUACAUUUUAAAAUUAUAAAAGCCAUAAUAUUGUGGGGAUGGGUUGUUACACCUAGCUCGCUGCCAGCCAAGCCCAGUCCAUGGCAAGCCGAGCCUAAGCUCGCAAGGAGCAAGCCCCAGCCUAGCACGCAGACAAAGCCAUUGCGGAAGUUUAGCCCGCCACAUUUCACCUUGUUCAAAGGAGAUGAAGAUCCGAACAUGCACCUGAUGCACUACUGAAGUGCCAUGACCCUCCAUGGCAACAAGGAUGCUCUCAUGUACAAGAUCUUUGCCACGAUACUCCAAGGCGAGGUGCAAGAUUGGUUCCACUUCAUGCAGCCAUAUUCAAUCCGGAACUUUAGUGAACUUUCCUUGGUUUUCACUAAGGAAUAUUUGUCCUAUUGCUCGAUCAAGAAGAAGUCUGAUUACCUCUUUAACAUGAAGAAUGAUCCAGAGGAGUCACUGUGCGCAUACAUCAAGAGGUUCAAGGUGGAGAAGGCGAAGAUCGUCGAAUGCGAUAACAACAUUACAAGCUCAGCUUUCCGGAAGGAACUCCCAGCAGAUCACCUAUUUUUCGAAGAGCUGAUCAUGGGCGAGAACUUGACCCAUGCAGAUUCUUACGCUUUGGUAGAAAUGCACUCCCUCUAGGAUGAGGCUAAGGGUUCCUAGAAGCCGCUUGAGCAUAAAGACAAGGAGCUAGCUCAGAAGAAGGUGGGUGAUAAACUACUUAAUGAUAAGAACAAGCCAGGAAGCAGACACAAAGAUCGAUCCUUAGUGAAAGAAGGCUAUGCACCCAAGGUGUACACCAAGUUUUUAGUCUCGAUUAACCAGAUCCUUCGCAACUUCAAGGACAAACCAUAGUUCAAGAUGCCAUAGCCCAUGAAGGGAGAUACCUCCAAGAUGGACAGACAAAAUACUGUGCAUUUCACAGAGAUUCAGGGGCACGCAACCAAUAACUGCAUUACAUGGAUAAGGUAUCUUAAGAAGUUCGUAAAAGAAGGCAAAUGCAACCAAUAUGUCGAUAGACCAGCUGUCUGGCCGAUGUCGAACUCCCAGCCAAGACGAUCUGAAUUAACAAUAUCAGGGCCACCAACAAUUCAAAAAAGAAGAAGAUCCAACAGGCAAGAUCGAUCUUUCAGGUUCAAGCUAUAGAUGUUGUACCUGGACCAAUCGUCGACUUCAAUGAGUAGGAUGCUGAAGGAGUAGACUUUCCCCACGACGAUGCCUUAGUGAUUUCUCAUCGUUGACAAGAUGAUGGUGGACGACGACAGCUCAUUCAAUAUCUUACAACUAUCAGUCAUCCAAAAGAUGGACCUGGAAAGUACGAUGAGACGCAAAACAGAGAUCUUGACUAGAUUCAAUGAACUUACCUCAAUUGCCAUUAGCACAAUCACACUCGACGUAACCAGCCCUCCAAUUAUCUCAUCACAGACCUUCAUGAUCGUCAGCGACUCAUCUCCCCAUAACAAGAUAUUGGGCCGACCUUGGCUAGUGAAGAUUGGAGCUAUUGGAAAAGAUAAGUCAAGUGCUAGUUGGAAACCUUCAUUCAUUUUUGAGCAUUUGGAGUCGCAUUUUAAUUAGCCUACUUGUCUACAUCGUCAAUUAUUCCAAGCACCAAUUUACAACCAAACGAGUAAUUCGUUGAGGCAAACAUACCCAAUUGGGCACAAACACAAAUGGGUAAUUCUUUGCAAGUCACAUUUCCGGCCAACAUCCCUGGCAUAAGUUAUUGUGUUGCGAUGCAUUUGAUCUUUCAUAUUUGUUUGCCCUCACCUUAGCAUUCACAUUCAUCCUCACCUUUGGGACUGUGUCUUCUCCAAUAAAACACCAUCAUCUCCAGUAACAUACCAUUGUUCUCAUUGACCCUCACCUUUGGGCCUGGUGCGUUGUUCCUAAUAACACACCAUCAUCUCUUGCGACUAACCACCUAAAACUCAUGUUUCUUCGUCGUCAGUGGUGCUUAUCUUAUUGAUGUUUAUAUUUGAACCCAUGAUCUCUUACUCACAUAUUACUAGUUGUCAUUUGAACCAAAUGAUUUAAUAAGUUUAAUGAAUCAAUCAAAUUGUAUAACUAUAGAUAAAUAAGUCAAUACUACAUUAAUAAGUUUUGAUUUUAUGUAAGUAGUGGAUCACCCGGUUGGGGUUUUCUUUUUAACCCACUGCGUCUUAGGUUUGAACUCUCCUCCUCUCCUUCUAGUCUAGAGUAAGGAUAUCACUUGUAUUUGAAAAAAUAAUCAUAGAACUAGAUUGGGCUAGCCCUAUUAAGAGCAACUCCAGCGUUGCAAAGGCCUCCUAGGGCAACUCACUAUUGAAUAGCCUCCAAUGAACAAUAACUAUCUUUUGCAUCUCCAUCUCUAAACUGAAAAGCCAUGACAAUAGGUAAUAAAAUAAUAAAAAAUAAUUUUAUUUGUAAUUUCAGAUAUGAUUUUUAAUCGGUCUCGUUGUACCACGUGUCAUUAAAUAAGAAAUUACAACCCAAAUUAUUUGAGAAAAUAUAAAAUUAUGGUGUAAGUCGGAAGAUAAUGAUAACAUAUUUAUAGAAAAAUUAAAUCAAUUUUUUUACAUUUUUAUUAAUAUUUUAUAUUUUUAUUAAUUUUAUAUUAUGGCUGAUGUCACCCUGACGUCAGCCAUUCAUCACUUGGGCCUCAGGCUUUCGGACGAUGGAUUCCUGCCUGGCAUGUCUAUCGGGCCUCACCCGAGCCCCAUUGCCCGCAUAGGCUGGAGCCAAUUGCUGGGGCAAUUGGGUGAUUGGAAUCGCCGGUCCAUCAGGCUAAAGAGCAUGCUAGACUUGCUCUAAAGGCCGGGUCAUUGGGCAAACCAAACUCAGACCGACCCAUCGGGCCUAGGCUGUACUUACAAGCCUAGUAUUGAUAGGAUAGCUUUCAAAAAAAAAAAAAAAGAGUAUUGAUAGGAUUGAAAUAAUAAAGGCUAAAAUAAUGAGUUUGGAAUAGUACAGGGCUAUUCGGGAUAGAAAACUCUCUCCUUCUCUCGCUUACCACGAACCCUAGUUACUGGAGGAACACUACUUGUACAACAUGGCGAGGCGGAAGAGGAGGCAGUCGGAGUCGGAGUCGGAGGCGCAAGAUUUAUCUAAUAAGACAGUGAAGCGGAAGUUGGAAGAAAAAUCGACAACAACUGAAAAGUUAACAGAUAAUGACGUCACGCAUGAUGCCAUUACACAUUCCCCGCCGCCGAAUGUUGAGGUCCGUCGGGCAACCUUUGUUGUAGAAAAUGCUUCUCUGAGAAUGGGCAUCGUUCGAAAGGUACGGGAAACUCUUCAUGCAAAAAUUUGAUAUUCGAGUAAAAUUUUUUUUGAGGCUUUUUUAAUUAUUUUGUUUAUUUACUUGUCUAGAAUUUUAUUUCCUCAAUUUUUAACUUUUUUUCUUCUCAGAGGUGGAAGAUUCUGGAUUCAGAGGAAGACGCUGAUGCCCUGAAACAAAAGAAAGAUGAGAAUAAUUAUCGGCCUGGAGUUGUCUACCAGGUUUGCUCUUGAGCUACAACUUACAAGUUACAUUGAUUACAUUCUUCUUAUAUGAGUUUGGUUAGGUUUCUAUAUAGUGGAGUUGUAAUCUUAGGUUAAUGAAAAUACUUAUAAGUGAACAAACUAAAGGUUUUUGAUAAGGUGUUGAUAUCAUGGAUGAUAAUGUAUCACAUUAUCAGUGACAAAACUUACUGAGUUAUUGAUACAAAUUCCGACAACAACUCGCACCGAGAAUUUUUGGAUGCAUAAAAGAAGGGUCCUAGAAAGAUGAGGAUAAAUCCAUCCGUUUGUUUAUAUGAGAUAGAAAAGUUAUUUCCAAACCCUCAUUGUCAGUAAAGUCGAAUUAAACAAUUUACACUGUAUCAUACCAUUGUUACAGACCCAUAAGUUCAUUCAUAGGAACUGAGGUUAGCAUAAGGGUUACUGCACUCAGAUUUUAGCAUUGGAUCAUGUCUCACUAAUAUGUAGUCUAUGUUGUGUUUCUUUUGCUGUUUUUAAUUUAUACAUUUAUUAAGUGUUUUACCCAUCCAGGCUCUUCGUGCGAUUUUUGAUAGCAAACUUAAUAAAGCUGGUAUGGUAGGAGCUGUGUAUGUGAAAACAGAUAAUGGAGUGUUAUUUGAGAUUAAACCCCACGUUCGUAUACCAAGAACGUGUAGGCGCUUUUGUGGAGUCAUGCGUAAGUUAGCUUCUAUUCCUAGUUGUCUUAUAUUCACUCUGCAUCAUUCAGCCUCUUCAAAAUAUAUCCAUGGAAUCUUACAGAUUGCUUUGUGUUUUGACUUUUGCAAUUUUUAAAGUGGAGUUACUAGAUAAAAAAUGCAUACGGACCAAAGAUACAAAUGAAAUUCUUAUGCGUGUCAUUGCGGAACCUGUAACUCGAUAUUUACCGGUCAACUCUCGUGUAGUAGGUGAGCAUUCCCUACCUCUAUUUAGUAUUCUGACCUUACUGACUAUGACUAAUGCCUGCUGUACUGGGUUUACAGGACUCUCUUAUAGUUCAGAAAAAGUGGUUGAUAUUGAUGACUAUGUUAAUUCUGCCAGCGAUGAAUUGAAUCUUGUUUUUGUGGUAUGUUUGAGAUUCUAAAUUUCAGUUCAUAAGUCUCUACUUCGUGCUCUUUUUUGUAUGUGAAAUUUGAAAUCCCUUAAUCCGCAUAACGGCUUUUUAUACUUGUUCAGGUGGGUGAACUGGCCCAUGGGAAGAUCAAUGAGUAUACAGAUGAUUUUAUAUCGGGUAAUUUAUACUUGAGCUAUGUGAUAUUGUGGCUUUUAUAAAUGUCGAUGAGAAAUGUGAACAGAUGUUAAGAAACUAAGAUGGUGUAUCUGAACUUUUGAGCUUGAAAAGGUAAUUUUUGGUGGUUGAGUUUGAAUUCUUGAGUAAACAGAACAGCGAUCAAAGGAUUUUGUGCAAUAUAGGAAACUCGAAUCUUAUCAAAACUGGGGAGCGGAUGGUUGACGGAAGUAGAUAUCGGAUAGGCUUAAUUUUUUAGGGUUUAGGAUUUACUGCGAUGAUGAUUUUUUGUAUCUCUGUACUUGAAUUCAUUGAUGAGAAACAAUGUGCAUGUGAAAAGCUCCUGUAGUAGUACAAAUAAGAACUGAAAUGGUAAAUAACUCCAAUGGCUUAACUUGAUCCUUCCUAUAUUUAACAACUUACAAAAAAUUGAUCUCUUUACGAUAAGCGGAUGCAGGCUUUGAAUUUCGGUUAUUAUUGGUUUGAAGUGCUCAUUUUCUACUAGUAUCAGUCAUUUUCAUUAUUAUUAUCAUUAUGAUUGAGACCGUUUGUACUAGAAGGGUUGUGAUUGCUUUUGUUUAUUUAUCCUGUUCCCCUUAGAUAUACGAGGAGCCUGCCCCGGUUCUCACACUUUUUAAGGUUGUCUAGCUUAUUGUGUCAGUAUGUAUAUUGUGUAUGACGAACAAAAGUAGCUCGUUCACUGGGUUGUUUGUAUGUUUGUCAAAAAGGCAUUUAUUCCUUAACAUCCUUGUUGAAUUGGCAUAGGCAAAACAGCUUGCCUUUUGCGUCUGUGUGUUUGUAUAAAUUUUUAGUGUUGUCUGUUUUGGUCGGCUGGUUUUUUUUUUUUCUUCCAGUUUCGUUUUCACUUGACUCCUCUAUGUUAUGCUGGAAGCUAUUAAUAUUUUAAUGUUGCAUUUGUUUGGCUCUGCAGUUUCAAAUUAUCCGUUGAGUGCAAAAGGCUGCAUAGGGUUGAUUUGCGAGUCGUUGGAGCAUAAAUGGAAGAUCUUCUGAAUCAUUUAUAUCUAGGUUAUUAAGUACGAAGUUUUGUACAAGCGUUGAAGAUAUUCAUAACAUGAGUAUUCCUAUAAUUUAUCGUGAUUUAAAAGAUGAAAGUUAUUGGACAAAACUGAAUUACUUGUGAAACAUUUGUUUUCAUCUUUUAAUUGAAUAUCGCUUGAGUAGACGAUAACUUAGUUAUUUAAGUAUUGGAUUUGAAAAUUGAAUGUUCUCUUGUAUGAAACCUUUACAAUAAGUUUGCUAUUAGCUCCAAACACCCAUUUUAGUCAGAAUGGGGUGGUUAAAAUCCCCUUUAAUGUCCUGGUGCAACCAUUUGACCAUGUGGCAAGCCCUUAUUGGAGGGAUUUUUCAACAUGUGGCAAGCACUGAUUUGCCGGGUGAUGUCAUUGUGUCUAUGAAUUGGUUGCGAGAGAAUCUCUGCACUUGUGUAGAGGUGGUUUUUUGGACUAUGUUUCUGAAACAGUUUUUUUUUUCUUUUGCAUUUGAAUUUGUUUUUGAAAAGGAAAAUUUCAAAGAUCAAAGGAUGAUUAUUAAGUUAUUACUUCAAAACAAUAACAACAACAACAACAACAACAAAGCCUUUUCUCACUAAGUGGGGUCGGCUAUAUGAAUCCUAGAACGCCAUUGCGCUCGGUUUUGUGUCAUGUCCUCCGUUAGAUCCAAGUACUCUAAGUCUAAAGUGAAUGUGGAGUGAGAUGCCACACCAGGCAGCACGCUGAGGUUAGGCAUAUCUUGGUCUGCAGGGCUGGGGUUAGACCCAAUCCCAAUCUGAACAUCAAUUUUAUAUUAGCUACCCAACUAUGGUGGAUGGGGAAACCCUACUAACCCGAGGGCUUAAGGGCGCACUUUGUGCGAUUUCACCCAAGGUGAACAGACUAAGACCACCAUCAUCUCACAUGGUUAGGCUUCAUGCAGGCAACAAAUCACUUUAAUGCACUGCUAAGUUACAAGCUCACGCAACAAAUCACUUUAAUGCACUGCUAAGUUAUUACUUCAAAAAAAAAAAAAACAAGUAUGAUUAUUCGACUUGAUGAAGUCAAAAAAAUAGUUCGACACUGAGAAGUAGAACCGAGCACAAUAUACUAGCCAACUAACCAUUGUAAUUUGUCUAUAAAAGAUGAUAGUUUAAGUUCCUCCUCGGUCAUGGGCAACAAGAAUGCCUUCCAACAUGAAGUGCUUACUCUUAAGCUUGUCCAUAGAAGAAAACAGUGACUUAGCAGCCAACGCAAGAGCAGCAGCCUUCAAUAAAACCUCUUUGCCUGCAGUAGCCUCAUCAAUAAUUAGGAAAUCUAAAGUGAUCAGAGCGGCUUUUCUGCUGGAUUUUCUUUACUUAGAAAUAGAUAAUUCGGGCAUGAUCAAAGAUGCUAUGGCUGACCUGGCCCUGGUGUUAAUCUGACGCAACUUACCGGUGAUAGUCUUAACACCAAGAGCUUUCACAAGGUUUUGUAUAUAAUCCAAUGUUCAGUGGAGAUGACUUUCCUACUGACCGAAAUCACUUUUUUUAGUUGAAGGAAACAAGGCUUUCCAGCCCAGCUGGUCCCACUAGCGAGGAGAGUUUUGACUGCGAAUAUUCCCGUAGCUGCUUCUGAUCCUGUUUCAACUUCUACCCCUAUCUUGAAUGCAGCUGCCGCGGAAACUACUCUCCAUGUCCCCCUUCACCCAUUUCAAAAGGGUGCAACACUUCUCAGUUUGGGACUAUGGCAUAGCGAUACACUCUACUCUCUCGCGACCCUUAGUAUAAUCAAAAGACUAAAGGAGGCGAAAAGGUCGUCUAAGUUUUCUUAGGAACAAAUUUGUUUGACUUCAAGGGUCCAAUGCUCUUGUAGCUCAUGAUAGAAUAAAAACUUUGGCGUGGCAACAUGCUCGGUGAUAAGGGCUAGUUUGGUAUUGUUGUGCUUUUUAAUAAAACUGAUUCUGCUGUGAUGUAAGAAUAAAUAUCUAUAAAAUAAAAUUGUUAAGUUUUUGGUAAACCUUUUUUUUGUAAAAGUGUUUUUAUAAAAAAAAAGCAGUGUCUAAGUAUUUGGUAAACUUUUAUAGAAGUUGCUUUGAAUAUGUUAAAUGACUAAAAAUGAUAUAGUAUUUAAUGUGAUAUAAUAAUUGUUAAAGACAAUAAUGUAAGGACAAAGAUUGUAAUUUUGUAAAGCAUGUGGGGUAUACUUGCUAUUUGAAAAUUUCAUUAAAUGAGCAUUUGUUACUAUACUUUAAAAACUGCUUUGAUUUGCAAUAGUUGGAAUGGUUCUAAUUGGUGCUGGCCUAAUAAUUCUUCUCAUGAGUUGCUGGAAAUUCAAAUUUAUAUGUCUAAUAUUGUGCCAAAUCCUAGCUUGGGUGAUAUGAUUCGAUGGACUCCUUCAUCGUCUGGCAUCUACCUUGCUACUUCUGCUUGGGAUAAAUUUCGGCAAUCCAAGCCUACGCUAGAUUGGUCUAAGCUUGUUUGGUAUAAUCAAAAUAUUCCCAAGAUGAGCUUCAUUCUUUGGUUGGCUAUUAAAUGCAAGCUUUCUACUAUGGAUAGAAUUUUGACUUUUGCUCUGUCAGUUCUUGUUACUUGCGUACUCUGCUCUAUUGCUACGGAGUCCCAUUGCCACCUCAUCUUUGAGUGUCCCUUUAUUGAUGGUAUUUGGUCUUCAGUGCUAUUAAAGUGCAGUGUCCUUUGGCUAAGGCUCCGUUGGCCUCUUUUUGUCAUGUGGGCUACCAGCCGUUUCAAGGGAAAAUCUCUAUCAUCAAUAGUUUUGAAGUGAAGUCUUGUUGCUAUUGUGUAUUAUGUUUGGAGGGAGCAGAACAGCUGUAGAUUCAAGAACUCAUGUCAACCCGUUGCGGUGGUUCUCAACUCAAUUAAGUCCACCAUUAGAGUUCGAUUGAGUUAUUUGAAAAUCGCCCAUUUCGUUGCUAUUGACUCUACUUUACAGGAAUGGAAUAUAACUAUGAAUCGUUAGUGCUUAUUUUGCUGCUUUGAUGCAGCAUUGUUAGCUUUGCUGUCUGUUUUUCUUUUAGCUGCAGCUCUUUGUUGCGUGUUUGUAUUUUCAACUACUCUUUGUUGCUUUAAUUCUCUUUUUCUCAUCAAUAUAUUUUAUUUAUAUAUAUAAAAAAGCAUUUUUUUAGAAGCACGGUAGAUCUGCUUCUGCUUUUCUAUGUUUUUCCUACUUUUAUUGACAUCAAUUUUUUUUAUCAAACACAUUUAAUGUUUCAAAUUUUUUAAUAAGCUGUUUUUUUAAAGCACCACAAUCCCAAACCAAUCGUAAGUGUAUAAAAACCAAGAGAAAAAUAUAAAGAAAAAAUAAACCCCCCGCCUGAGACACACAAAUACUUGUGGGGCGCGGAUAGCUCCAAUAUCAGGACACUGAAAUAUCACAAUAUUACAUUAUUCAUUAACAAUGUAAAUAUGAUUGUGACGCUUGUUACACUAAAAGUAUGAUUAAAUAAGAUCUCUUAGACCAAUCCAUGUACUUAUCAUAAAGGAAAACUAAUGAAAAAAAUUUGAAAACUUUAAGUUUUAAUUAAAAUGACAAAAAUGUGUUGUAAGUAAAUAGUACCAGGAGUGACUUUUUAGAGAAAAUAUCAUUUUCAUUAAAAGUGAACAGUACCAAGAGUGUUUCGUUAAAAUUCCUUCCUUGUAGGAUUCUCAAAUCCUACGAAGGAGAAUACACAUAUCAAGUAAUCAACCCCUUCUGUCUCACUCUUUAUAACAUACUCAUACAAUAAAUUUAUUUAAGGACGUUGUAAUACACAUCAUUUUUUUAUCCUCCCAUACAAACUCUAUUUGUUUUUUAAUUCGUUCGAUCAAAAAGUUAAAAAUUCAAAAGAACAUGAUCAUUGUAAAAAUAGUUGUGUGAACAGUAACAUCCUUUAACUAUUCUAUUUAUAAUUAUUUUUGGUCGGGAGGCACGUAGGAAAAAACUGAAAAGAGAAAGCAAAUAAAAGAUAAAUAAAAUAUAGAAAGAAGAAGAAGAAAAAAAUAAAUGAGGAUUCUCUCCUGAUCUUCUUUGUGAGGAUUUCGGAGAUUUUUCAAUUACAUUCGUUCAUCGUGUGAUCAGUUUUUGUUAAGUACUGUUUAUAUUUAAUUUUAAAUAAAAUAAUUUACAAUGAUUCAGAUUGCACGAUAUACAAUGAACGGAUAUGAUUAAAAAUUUUCUGAGGAUCCUCAUUCGAACAAAAUUAGGAAGAGAAUUCGGAAACCCUAGCCCCAGCUGCCCUCCUCCUCUCGUCUCGAUUUUAUUUUAUUUUAUUUAACCACAGUCCUCACUCCUCAUACAAUUUUAUACUCGAUUCUUCUCUCGAGUCUCGGACUCUCUCAACGGACGAAACCUUCACCUUGGUUCAAAAGCAAAAGGCCUCUACUUUCCAAGCCCCCAAUUUGUUCCGGUAUACAAACUCUCAGAAGCCCCAAUUUGUGACCCAAACUGAAGACUGAAACAAGUUUUGCAUGCCAUGAAGACCCACAAAGCUUCGAAUUCGAACAAGUCCUCUAAUGGAAGGUACUAACUACUAAGCUUUUUACUCUCACAUUUGGUUUAACUUUUGGGAUUCGGAUUAGUCAUUAUUUGCAGCUUCACUAGCAAUUAUUUAUUAUUACCUUGUGUGCCAUAUUUUGUUUUAAUCUCUUGGUAAUGCACACAUUGUUGAAAGGAAAUGGAUUGCCUUCCAUUCUUUUGGUAAUUACAUUAGCAUGAAUUCUUCAACGGUAUUCCAGGAGGAUCGAAAAGAGGGGAAUGAAGAGAAAGGCCUUGGAGCGAUGCUCAAGGCUUAAGUCUUCCAAGGACUUCUUGGAAGUCAAAGGAAUUAUUGAACAGGAUAGUAAUGAAGAUUCUAUGCUCCAACUUCCCGGCAUUCCUCUAGCUCCUUCCAGCCAGAAUAUGAACCCUGGAGUUACUUUUGUUCUCGAAAAGGCCUCCUUGGUGCCUGCUUAUGUCGGCAAGGUAACCCCAUUUUUCAUUUAUAAUUCUACCUGCAUCCUUUAUUUUUCUGCUUCUGUGCUACUUUGUUCGUUACUGUUCUUUUACCUUGUAUUUAUAUUUCCUUUUUUCAGAAUUACCAGAUUUUAAAUCCAGAAAUACACGGGGACUUCCUUCGGAAAAAGAAUAUGGAUCCUUAUAAAUACAGACCUGACAUUGUUCACGAGGUGAGGUGCCUAGGGACUCUUUUUAAGAUUGAGAAUGAUUGAUUGGACUCAUUGCAUUUCCCUCAAAUAGCAUCAGAAAUUGCAUGUCAUUGCUCUCCAUUGGCAAAAUCACUUUACUUUUGUCUCAGAAGUUCUUUUUAUUUUUGCAAAUUCUUUUGUACGUUCAGGCCCUCCUUCAAAUUAUGGAUACCCGACUUUGCAUGGCCGGCAGACUGCAGCCGGUGUAUGUUAAAACUGACCAAGGGGUUCUCAUCAAAGUCGAACCACAUGCUCGUAUACCAGAAUCAUUGGACAAGUUUUGUGCUAUGAUGUGUUAGUCCUUCUUUGAUAACAGACUCAAACAUUAUUUAUUCCUAGCCAUUUUUCAUCCAGGUCGUUGUUUUCUUUUCAAAAUUCAUCUUUUAACUUCCCAAAACCUGUCCUAAUCUAUGGUUUGCAGCACAAUUAUUGCAAAAGCUCCGCAUUAAAGCCAAGGGUCGACGUGAUACACUCUUGCGUGUGGUUCAGAACCCUUUAUCUCAGCAUUUACCUUCUAACUCCGUCAAAAUAGGUAAGCCUCCGAUAAUGUGCACGGUUCUAUUUCCAUUAAAAUGCUUUCCAUAACACCAAACGCGCUGUCACUUCAGGCCUUUCCGUCAGUUCGCAAAAGGAAGUUCAGUUACGGGAGUAUGUAAAUGCUGUCAGCAAUAAUGCCAACCUUGUAUUUGUGGUAUAAGCAUUAUACUUUCCUAUCAUCUGUUCGCAUUACACAUGUACUAUCUGGCGGUUUUGUUCGUUAGUUCAUUAACUAACUUGAUGUUCAGGUUGGUGCCAUGGCUCACGGGAAAAUUGAUAGCGAGUAUGCGGAUGAUUUCAUAUCAGGUAACUUUUUUUUUUCUCUUUACUUUUACUAUUCCCAAAAAAAUGUUAUUGUUCUAAGCUACCCGGCAUGUUUUCAUGAAAGUGAUGAUACUACUAAAAUGAAUAUCGAAGACUGAUUCAUGGAUGCUAAAGUUAAGGAAUACUAGUCUCGCGAACAUGAUGGUUCCAAAGCUAAUUGGGUCCUCUGGCUGGUUAAGGAUUUUUGUUGUUUUAUGUGUCAUGUAGUCCUAAUAGGAUUGACAUUUAUUAAGUAGUCUAGGGCAUCAAAUCAUGCUCUGUAUUAUCAAGUUAAACUUUAGCUAAAACAGAAAAAGUUAUUUGAGAAGUUCUCGAUAUUACUUCCACAUAUUUCCACACCUACCAUGCUCUCUAGUUUAGGUAGUCAUAAUUAUUUUUAGCCACUAACUAAAAAGUAUUUCGUUGAAAUAAUAGUUAAAACCAAUUUUAGGAGUUAGAUAGAUAGGAAGCAUCAUUGGAGUUGAUCUUUUGCAAGUUUUUCUAAAUUUUUAGCUCAUUUAGGGAGUCCAAUGGGAAUGCUCAGGGAGUAAUUCGGUAAGUCUGGUCGGAUUGGGAUAUCUUGAUAAACAAGGAUUAGGGUUUAUAGGAUGCUGUACUCUGGUAUGAAUAGACUAUUAUUAGGCUCUUCUAUUCAGUUUGCUUUUAUCAGUUAUAUAAUUUCUGAUUUCAGAGUUUCCCUUUGGAUUUCUUGCUCUAGAACUCAGUUGUCUCAUUCCAGCUUCGGUUUUAUUGCUGUUUUAUCUGUAUUGUUCUCUUGUUCAUCGUUUGGAAUUCACUUCUACUGUGAUUUGGCCCUAUUCUACUCGCUGGACAACAGAUUAUCACUACUGCCCAUCAGAUUUCCAAGCAGCAAAGCUAAUCAAUAAGCCUGAAAAUGUACAUGUGUAAAAAAACUCGAGGUGUUACAAGGGGUAUGGGCUAUUUGGGUACAGAAGAUCUGAAGGCAAACUUACGCUAGAUUAAAAAAGGUCUUAAUAGGCAUUAACAUAAAAAAAUUAUAAACCAAUGCCAAAAAUUUUGACUGAGAUUUUUGGGAACGACCUAAAACAAAGCCAAAUACAUAAUUCAAUCUCGUGUUAUAACUUGAAUGGAUUAGCCACAUGGGUGGUUAUGGACCCGAUGGCUCUCCCUUGGUAAUAUUCUUUGCCUUGAGUGAGAAGUUGCGGUACAAGAUUCCAUCCUUUGAAGUUUUUUUUUUUUAUUAAUAUUAUUGUUCUGCAAGACUGUAAACAGUCUUGGAGUCUGGUGGUUCCUCCUCAUGCACUAAGAAAUAAUUUUGAUUUGGUUUCUGAUAUGAUCUGUUAAUAAAUGUGUAUGUGAUGUUGCAGUUUCUGGAUAUCCGCUGAGCGCUGGGGUGUGCCUGAGAAGUAUAUGUAUAGCAUUGGAGAGAAAGUGGAAUAUUUUGUGAAACAACUGUCAUUAGUAUGGUAUGGAUUAGAAACUCUUGUGAGCGUGCUAUCUUGGUUGCGGAGGAUCGAUAGAAGAAUUAUGGAGCUUUUUUGCGUAGUUUUUGUUUAAUUUAUGGUCUGUAUCACGGACGCUCUGCAAGUUGACAAGUUUAAUGGCAGUAGAUUCUUGUUAAUAAGAGCGCGGUACUUAACUAUUGGAGAAGAUAAGUCAAGUGCUAGUUGGAAACCUUCCUUCACUUUUUGAGCAUUUGAAGUUGCGUUGUAUGUACCUUGUAUCAUGUUGGCGUAAGUUAUCAUGUUGUGACACAUUCCAUCUUUCGAACCAUCAUCUCCAGCGACUGUUGUAGCCACCUCCAAUUACCCAAUACGACCUCAUGUUUCUUCGACGUGAGUGGUACUUUGAUUGACGGUGGACCACCGAAGUGUUUUUUUGUAGCAAAGACCCUAUCUUUGGCGUGAAUGUGUAUGUGGGGUGUGAGAUCAUGAGCUGAGAUUUAAAAAACUUACAUUUUCUCUUCAAAUUUCUUCUCAUUGGAGCAACCAGAAAAAGUUUAAUUUCUGUCCCUCGAAAUGGUUAGCUCACUGCUCAGAGCAAGAAAUUCCAUCCCCAAAAUCCCCAAAAUCUUCCCCCCAAAUCCACAAAUUCUCACUCCAAACUCACCCCCAAUCCAAUCCCACCAAAACCCAUGUCCCCAACCGCCUCAUGCCCAAAACCCGUCAAGGGUUUUGCAGAAUUCUUCUUUUUCAACCCAGUCCUCCAAGUUUCCUGAAUACGAAAUGCACUCGAUCACUUGGGGUGUUUGUUGAAAGGUAAUCUUGCUUCUAGAAUGGUGGGUGCAUGCAUUGAAAAUGCUAGACAAUUCUAGCAUGAAUAUGGCAUGUGUUCAUUAUGUUCAUAAGCAAAGUCUAUGUUGGUGGGCUACUUUAAGAAAUCAAGAAUAAUGGCUAGGAUGAUUUCACACUUGGUAUUCACACUUGGUAUGGUUGGUUAUGCUUGCCUAUAAGUAUAGGUGAGUAUGUUGUAAUGUAAGAUAUAAGAAGAAGAAAAGAGAAGUGAGAAAGAAGAAGAAGAAGUAAGAGAGACAAGAAGGCUCUCUAAAGUGAGAAUAAGUAGAAGAAGCAUUCAUAGCUUCCAAGAGUGUUUGAGUGAUUUCUCUUGUAUUAGUUUGUGUGAGAAUAAGAAAAGUUUUGAGUGUUACCUUGAAUAUUCUUUUUCUCUUGCCUAUCAAUUUCCGCUGUGUUACAUUCUUAUUUGAGAUAGACAUCUCCAAAGUAGAGAAGUCUUUUAAAUCCCAACAAAGUGGUAUCAGAGCCAUGGCUAACAACGCUAUGGCAGCUUUCCAAGUUCCAGUGCUCAACAACAACAACUUCGAUAAUUGGAGUAUCAAAAUGAAGGCCCUUUUGGGAGCACAUGAUGUAUGGGAAGUCGUGGAGAAAGGCUACACUGAGCCAGAAGAUGAAGCUACUCUGUCCCAACCCCAGAAGGAGGGUUUGAAAGAUUCAAGAAAGAGAGACAAGAAGGCUCUCUACCUCAUCUACCAAGCAUUAAAUGACAAUGGUUUUGAGAAGGUCUCAAGUGCAACCUCCGCCAAGCAAGCAUGGGAGAAGCUUCAAACCUCUUACAAAGGAGCCGAACAAGUGAAAAAGGUUCGUCUUCAAGUAUUAAGAGGUGAGUUCGAAUCUUUACAAAUGAAAGGGUCUGAAUCAAUCUCCGAUUACUUCUCAAGAGUUUUAGCCGUUUCCAAUCAAUUAAAAAGAAACGGUGAAAAAUUAGAAGAUGUUAGAAUUAUGGAGAAGAUACUACGCUCGUUGGACCCCAAAUUCGAGCACAUUGUUGUGACGAUUGAAGAGACAAAAGACUUGGAAGAAAUCAGUAUAGAGCAUUUAAUGGGCUCGCUACAAGCAUAUGAAGAGAAACAUAAGAAGAGGCAAGGGAAUGAUGAGCAGCUUCUCAAGACGCAUGUUCCAGCCAAAGAAGAAAGAAGAAAGCUUCAACAACGAGAGAAGCCAAAACGAAAGAAGUCGUGGCCGAGGUCGCGGACGUGGGCGUGGACAUGGACGUGGACGCAGUUGGAACUUCAACAACCAUAGCAACUACGAAAGAGGAGAAAGCUCAACAAAAGGUCGUGGGAGAGCGCUCAAACUUGAGGUAUGAAAAAUCUCAAGUUCAAUGCUAUAAUUGUCAAAAGUUCGGGCAUUAUGCUUGGGAAUGUAGAGCUCCAAACAACAGACUUGAUGAGAAGGUCAAUUAUGUGAAAGAAGAUAAAGAAGAGAAUGGCGUUGUGCUACUAGCAUGCAAGAACAAUGAUGGAGAUCAAGACUAUACAUGGUAUCUUUGACACCGGCGCCAGCAACCACAUGUGUGGAAAAAGAAGCGUGUUCGUAGAGCUCAAUGAAUCAGUGAGUGGCAACGUUUCUUUUGGAGACGAAUCCAAAAUACCCGUAAAAGGAAAAGGUAACAUCCUUAUUCCCCUUGAAAAUGGCGGUCACCAAUUAAUUUCAAAUGUCUACUACGUGCCCAAUAUGAAAAGCAACAUUUUGAGUUUGGGUCAACUCUUAGAAAAAGGUUAUGAUUUUCAUACAAAAAAUUAUAUCCUUUUUCUUAGAGAUGACAAAGGAAGAUUAAUUGCCAAGGCGAAAAUGUCAAAGAAUAGGAUGUUUCCCAUGAACAUUCAAAACGAUGUUGCAAAGUGUCUUAAGAUAUGUUACAAAGACAUAUCUUGGCUUUGGCAUCUUCGUUUUGGGCAUCUUAACUUUGAAGGAUUGGAGUUAUUAUCUAAGAAGGAGAUGGUGAGAGGAUUACCGUGCAUCAGCCACCUUGAUCAAGUUUGUGAAGGAUGUUUACUUGGAAAACAAUUCAGGAAAAGCUUUCCAAAGGAGUCGACCACAAGAGCCCAGAAGCCACUUGAGCUCAUUCACACCGAUGUGUGCGGUCCUAUAAAACCAAGCUCUUUGGGUAAAAAUAAUUAUUUCCUUCUCUUCAUUGAUGAUUUUUCAAGAAAAACCUGGGUUUAUUUCCUGAAGCAGAAAUCAGAAGUCUUUGGAGCAUUCAAGAAGUUCAAAGCCGUCGUAGAAAAAGAGAGUGGUUGCAAGAUCAAAGCCAUGAGAUCUGAUCGAGGAGGAGAAUUCACUUCAAAGGAAUUUCAAGAAUUUUGUGAAGCAAAUGGAAUUCGUCGACCUUUGACAGUUCCAAGAUCCCCUCAACAAAAUGGUGUGGCGGAAAGAAAAAAUCGAACUAUCCUCGACAUGGCUCGAAGUAUGCUCAAAAGCAAGAGAUUGCCUAAGGAGUUAUGGGCAGAAGUUGUAGCAUGUGCUGUCUACCUAUCCAUCGAUCUCCAACAAGAAGUGUGUGGGGAAAGACUCCGCAAGAAACAUGGAGUGGAAGAAAACCAGGUAUCUCUCAUCUAAGAGUUUUUGGAAGCAUAGCCCAUGUACAUGUACCAGACGAGAGGAGAGCCAAACUCGACGACAAAAGUGAGAAGUUCAUAUUCAUCGGCUAUGACUCAAAUUCAAAAGGCUACAAGUUGUAUAAUCCAAACAAUGGGAAGACGGUGAUCAGUCGAGACGUGACGUUCGACGAAGAAGAAGAAUGGGAUUUUGGCCCGCAUGCAGGAGAUCUUCAUUUCUUUCCUCAAUUUGAAGAAGAGAAUGAACAAGGGACGAUGGAGCAAGCAAGAGAGGUUCAACAAGAAUCCACUACUCCACCUGCUUCACCAAUAUCAACCAAUCAUGGCAAUUCACCAGCAUCAACAUCAUCAAGUGGGAGCCUAAAUGAAAGAGAAGUACCACGCACAAGAAGUAUACGAGAUCUCUAUGAGGUAGCUGAAAGACUUGAUAAUCCUACACUUUUCUGUCUCUUUGCUGAUUGUGAACCAGUCGACUUCCAAGAAGCAGUACAAGAUACUAAGUGGAGGAAAGCAAUGGAUGAAGAAAUCGAAGCAAUCGAGAAAAAUGAAACAUGGGAACUCACUGUUCUUCCAAAAGGACACAAAGCCAUCGGAGUCAAGUGGGUGUACAAGACAAAGAAAAAUGCCAACGGAGAGGUCGAAAGAUACAAGGCGAGACUAGUGGCGAAAGGCUAUAGUCAAAGAGCCGGAAUCGACUAUGAUGAGGUAUUUGCACCUGUUGCUCGUUUGGAAACGAUACGAUUGCUAAUUUCUUUGGCAGCUCAAAACAAAUGGAAGAUUCAACAAAUGGAUGUGAAGUCCGCCUUCCUAAAUGGAGUCCUUGAAGAAGAAGUCUACAUUCAACAACCAUCAGGCUAUGAAAUCAAAGGGCAUGAAGACAAGAUUCUGAAGCUGAAGAAAGCCCUCUAUGGGUUAAAACAAGCGCCAAGAGCAUGGAAUAGUCGCAUCGACAAGUACUUCCAAGAAAACAACUUCACCAAGUGCCCUCAUGAACAUGCUCUUUACGUCAAAGUCAAAGAUGAAGAUAUUUUGAUUCUGUGCUUAUAUGUGGAUGAUCUAAUCUUCACUGAGAGUAAUCCAAGCAUGUUUGAAGAGUUCAAGAAAGUGAUGACCAAAGAAUUUGAGAUGACGGACAUCGGCGUCACAAGCAAGAUUAAGGGGGGAUGUUGAAAGGUAAUCUUGCUUCUAGAAUGGUGGGUGCAUGCAUUGAAAAUGCUAGACAAUUCUAGCAUGAAUAUGGCAUGUGUUCAUUAUGUUCAUAAGCAAAGUCUAUGUUGGUGGGCUACUUUAAGAAAUCAAGAAUAAUGGCUAGGAUGAUUUCACACUUGGUAUUCACACUUGGUAUGGUUGGUUAUGCUUGCCUAUAAAUAUAGGUGAGUAUGUUGUAAUGUAAGAUAUAAGAAGAAGAAAAGAGAAGUGAGAAAGAAGAAGAAGAAGUAAGAGAGACAAGAAGGCUCUCUAAAGUGAGAAUAAGUAGAAGAAGUAUUCAUAGCUUCCAAGAGUGUUUGAGUGAUUUCUCUUGUAUUAGUUUGUGUGAGAAUAAGAAAAGUUUUGAGUGUUACCUUGAAUAUUCUUUUUCUCUUGCCUAUCAAUUUCCGCUGUGUUACAUUCUUAUUUGUGAGAUAGACAUCUCCAAAGUAUAGAAGUCUUUUAAAUCCCAACAGUGUUGUCCAAGGCCGGAAAGAGAAGUUUGUCUCCAGGGUCAUAAUCUCUGACUAUUUGAACAGUUUAGGCAUAGUUCCUGAUGAAUUUGGAGAACUUAGAGUUGCCCUAUGCUGUUGAUGUCAUGAGGGAGAGAGCUGAGUUCCUUCAGAAGCUCGGAUUGUCCAUCGACGACAUUAACGAGUACCUGUUGAUGAUCGGAUGUAGUGUCAGGAAAAAUAUGAUACCUGUGUUGGCUUACUUGGAGAAAAUUGGGAUUCUGAGGCCGAAACUUGGUGAGUUUGUUAAGAGUUAAUCGCAAGUAUUGAAUGCUAGUGUGAUGGUUGAGCUUGUGCCGGUCGUUAAGUUCCUUCGUGGGCUUGGUGUCGAAAAGCAGGACAUUGGUUAUGUGUUGCAGAAGUAUCCCGAGGGACGAUGAGUACUUCAGUUGCAUAUCUUGUUAGUAUUGGUGUUAGUCCUAGGGAUAUAGGACCGAUGGUCAUGCAGUAUCCCUUCGUUUUGGGAAUGAGAAUUGGGACUGUCAUUAAGCCGUUUGUUGAUUAUUUGGUAUCGUUAGGCUUGCCGAAAAAGAUAUUGGCUAGGAUGUUGGAGAAGCGGACGUAUUUACUUGGUUAUGGCCUAGAGGAGACUGUUAAACCAAAUGUUGAUUGUUUAGUUAGUGUCGGGAUCAGGAGAGAAGCGCUUGCUUCGGUUGUUGCUCAGUACCCCCAAAUUCUUAGGCUGCCUUUGAAAGCUAAAACGUCUUCACAGCUGUACUUGUUUAGUUUGAAGCUUAAGAUGGAUCCUGAAGGGUUUGCACGAGUGAUUGAGAAGAUGCCGCAGAUAGUCAGCCUUCAUCAACAUUUGAUAAUGAAGCCGGUGGAAUUCCUUCUUGGACGAGGAAUAGCUUCUGAGGACGUAGCUAAGAGCCUAAGACGGUUGUAAAAUGUCCCCCGUUGAUUGCGUCGCGUGUUGAGCUCAUGAAGAAUAGUUUGUACUUGUUUAAGAGUGAAAUGGGGCGGCCAUUGACAGAGCUUGUGGAAUUUCCGGAAUACCUUACUUACAGCUUGGAGUGUCAAAGCACAGGGAUACUUCUCUUUUUGGAGGUCUGCAGGUACGCCCAGUGGCUCUGCGGGUUGGGUCCAGGAAUACCCCAGCGAGGCUGGGUGGGAAUCUCGCUGUUGUGCUAGGAUAGCACCAAACCCGUUGGAACCAACUCAAGCUAACCCACAGGAAAUUUAUCAAAUGAAAAUGCAAGACCAAAAUAUUAAAGACACCAAGAUUUUAACGACUGGAGUACGUCCUCGGAGCAGUAGGAGCUCACCCAAGAAUCCACUAUCAACCAAAUGGGAGUUUACAAAGUGUUGGCAAUCUCACAACCCAAAUAACCCAAUACACCCAAUAGCUCUCACACACCACAGAUACAAAUAGAGAAAGAAAUAUAAUGAAUAAUUUCUUCUCUAUACAUAUAGCUCAAAGCUAUUACAACAACAACUACUUUGGUGGAUGAUCACUAACCAAAUGAAGCAACAACUUCUUCUUUCUUUUGGGCUCUCUACAACUCUCCUUGCUCUCGGUAGCUCUAACUUCUCUCUUUAGAAAAAAUGAGCCCUCUAUUCUUCUCAUAACAACAAAAGCAGCAAUUGCUGCUAAAUAAAACCAUAAGUCACCCCGUGACUUCCCACGUGGACCAAAGAAAAAAAA